UUUUUUUCUGUUUUUCUGUAUUAAUGUUAUAGAAAUGUUAGUUAUAUAUAGAAAUGUGUUAGAAAUGUUAGAAAUGUUAGUUAUAUAGAAAUGCUAGUUUUUUCUAUAUUAAUGUUAUAGAAAUGUUAGUUAUAUAGAAAUGUUAGAAAUGUUAAAGAAAAAUUAGUUAUACAAUUUUAGUUAUAGAAAUGUUAGAAAUCACAAUCCAAUCAUUUAAAAAAUGUUACUUUUGCGGCAUAUAGUAUUUGUUGUCGGCGAUGCCCCGCCGGCAUCCUCGCCGUCGACCCGUUCGCGACGACGUCCUGCUUCAGAGGACCCAUGUCCGAGACUGGGCUCCGCCGGGCUGGUACUGGGAGGUGCUACCUUCAGGGGCGCAACGCUUGGUGAGGAACCCGGCCCCAGGUCCCAUCGUCGACCAUGAUCUCCUUUGGUGGUGUUCGCGUGGGCCACUUUCGGUGCGGAGGGAGCCGGCCCCGCCGGAGGUGGUACGUCGCCGUUUCAGGGAGGAGGACGAGCACGCCCAUCGCUACAUGGCUGUUAUGGAUGUCAGGUUCUCCAAUACCUGGCAGGUUCUUUUGGGAGAUCACCCGAGCUAUGAUCCAGUGAUGGUUCCUUCUCUUUGGGUGUCCACUGCCCGCACCUCAGGAACUGCGAGUGGCCUAGAUUACUCUAUAGUAUUCGAUCUUUAUUAGCUUGCUAGCUAGCUAGCUAGUGAUGUAUUCGAUAUUAUAUCUAUUCUUCGAGACGAUGUAUUUGAGAUUAUAUCUAUUAUUCGAGACGAUGUAUUCGAGAUUAUAUCUAUUAUUCAAGACGACGUAUUCGAGAUUAUAUUCGAUGAUGCUUAUUAUGUACUAUGAUUGAUUCAGUUUUUCCUUAUUAAUUGAUUGCAUCCAUGCAUUGUAAUUUGAAUAUAUUUCUUUUGGAUUAGUUAAAUAAAACAUGUGGUGGACAAUACCGGCAGAGAGGGAGAAGAGGCCCUAUUCAAUAUCAUACGCAAUCCUCGCGGGCCAGAUGAUGAUCAGAAUGAAGAAGAUUAUGAUGGCUCCGAAUAUCUAAACAACACCGGGGAGGGUGAUAUGAUAUUCGAUCGCGACGACCGAAUUGAUGAAGACAUGAACUAUGAACAUGACAAAGAAAAUGUUGAUCUUGAAACAACAAAGACUGGCGAGGUAUAUAUAUUUAUAUAAGCAGGCAUUUGGUGAUCAUCACAUGUUUUAAAUGACUUGAAGAUAUAUUAACGAAUCGAUCUUUCUUCUUUCAGCCAUCCGGAUCGAGCAAAUCUUCAGGCAACAGGAAACGAGGCCCGAACAAAAAGUUGAAGGAGGGCGUAAAGUACAAUAUCGAGGCCAUCAAACCUAAUAGCGAACCAUUAGCACCUAAGAAGAUUGCGGACAAGUUCAUUCGUCAAUGCGGAGUUCUUGUGAAGGACCAACUCCCGAUCUCCCUUCAAGAAUGGAGAGAGCCAGCAAAGCCACGUCCAGGAGUUACUUUUGUCGACGACAGACAAAAACUUCUGCUUUGGGAAACGCUCAUGGAACAUUUUACCCUACCAGAUCAUUUCACAGAUGCAGAUGUGGAGAAAGUCAAGGACGCUGCUCUUAGGAAGAUGGCGGUUGCAUUCAACAACCACAAGAAUCGUGAAUGGGCCAAGUACGUCAAGGGAGGAAGGAAGACUCCAGUAUUUGAGGGAACACUAGAGAAGCAAAGUGCUCAUUGGGACGAUUUCGUGAAAUUCAAGGAUUCGGAAUUAUCUAAGGAACGAUCGAGAAUAAACAAGGCCAAUGCCGCAAAAAAGGAUAAGUUCCAUAAGCUGGGGCCAGGUGGCUAUGCGAUGGGAAUGCCUAAGUGGGAUAAGUCUGAGAAAGAGAUGGAGGAUGCAUGUGUCACUCCAGAAACAUUGAGCUGGCCCCCAGGUGCAGGACUUGGUUCUAUGCGCAUGGGGGGAGUUGGACCCGAAGACAGGCAAAGUUUCAAAGAAGGCAUAUCUGGACGAAGCCGAAGAUAAGCUACUUGUUGCAAUAGAAGAGGCUCGAUCGGGAGUGUUCCAGCCCAACAGAGAGAACGACGAGCUUACGCGUGCCCUGGGAAAUCCUGAACACCCGGGAAGAACACGAGGCAUGAGCGCUAUUCCGUGGUAUGAGGGGUUUUCGGACUGGAAUGCCGACUACAGAACCCGUGCGAGAAAUAAGAUUGCGGAGGAGAAGAAGAGGAAGAUGGAGGAGGAGCAGAGGAAGCUAGACUAUGAACGCCUUCAAGGCCUAGAAUCAGCGCACGCGGACUUGGCAGUCAAAUUCCAGCGGCAGCAGGAGCAGAUCGACUCACUUAGCCAGCAAAGGGGGGCCUCAACAGCUGCAGCAGCUAGCGGAUGAUCCAGCAUUGGAUAGCACCGUCCCAUCCAUGCCGAGAAGUAGCAUGGGUUCCGCUCCGGGCGACGCAUUGCUGGAUAGCUACCCAGUGGAUGACAUCAUGGAGAACACUAACUGCGAGCUACACUUCAAAAUGAAGAACAUAUCCAUGAAGGUGGCGGACGCCCUUGCUUUUACAAAUCCCCCCGAGGCAACCUUCCAUUGCAACCCGAUUCCAGCGGGCUAUGCUCGUGUCUUGGUUGAUGAGGUGGUGGACCAAUAUUCAGGGCUAGAGCUUGACAUUCCUGGAGGUGACGAUGAGCACACACUGGGAGAGGCCAACCAUCGUAUCAUCCUAUGGAGAAAGGAUUGCAUUAUCUUUCAAAGGCCACCGACACCGCAUCAUCCGACUCCUCGUCGAAGUCCGCCACCGAGUCAGCAGACUCCCGCUCCUCCAAGUCCACCAAAGCGUCAGGCCACUCCUCCUCCAAGUCCGGCACAGCUUCAGGCCACUCAUCCUCCAAGUCCGGCACAGCUUCAGGCCACUCCUCCUCCUCCAACUCAGCCACGUCAGCCGUCUUCGCCGCCUCAGCAAUCACGGAAGAGAACCGCCUCAGCUAUGGUGCGUAGCGGUACAAGUCGAGGUAGUACUGGAGGUACAGGCGGAGGCAAGCGAUUUCAAUAUGGUCCAAGCCUCGCGCCUCUUCCGCAGAGGCCUUACGACAAGUCCGAGGAGGAAAACGUAGCCAUAUCGAAGGCCGAGGUGGAAGCCCAUUUUGCACCAAAACCGCCACCGCCGCCAAGGGAGAAAGUGCCUGAGGAAAAGACUGACCACUUCAUUCGUAUGGCUAGAGCACCAGCUCCCAAGCCUGUUGACACAGACUAUGAGCGCCACAUCAAGAAGUUAAAUCGAGCACGUCUACAGAAAGAGGCGAGCUCGAGCUCGAGCAAAUCAGCUGGCAAAAGGAACGGUAAAACCGUUCCCCAGCUGGGAGAACAGGCGGCGCAAUCAAUCCCCCCGCUUGUUGUGCCAACAACACAUGAGAGUAGGCGCGCCCAAUAUUAUUGUGGGCAAACCGUUAACGUUCCCGGGCUGGGCGAUGUGGUAAUAACCGUGGAGCAUAUUGAGCAGGCUGAAACGCUCAUGAUCACUGUUGGAUAAAUCCUCGAUAUCAAGCCCAUGUCUUCGACUAGAGAGGAGGAAAUAAAACGGAAAUAUGUCCGGGGCCAACCUUUGGUCGAGCCAGACGUUGUCAAGAAGCUCCCAACAAGAAUGUAUGAAUUGCAUCAAUGGUACAUGGACAUUACAAAGAUUUCCAAUCGAGAGUCCCUCAUGGUGAAUGUCGAGAAGGAUCAUUACUACCAUGAGACAGCUGUGUCCGUUGAGUAUUCAGAACUAUUUCAGCUAUACAAUCAAGACGCACUCGACAAAUCUAUCGUCAGUUGCUAUUGUCUGUAAGUGAUUUCUUUCUGUAAUUUAAGUCUCAAGCUAGUUGUAGUGAUCAUUUUGAUCAAUCAUUACCUGUAAUUAUCCUCACUAUAUUCUUUUCUGUGGUAUUAUGCAAGAUGAAGAUUUAUGAAAUGAAAAAAGGUGGAUGCUAUGGCAUUGGGUUCGUUGACCCAAAUACCAUUAAUGAAUACACAUGGAAAUUAUAUCCAUAUUACGAAAAAAGUGUAGAGAAAAGCAUGCUAGAGUUCUUCAAGCGCCUCAAAUACAAUGAAGAUAUACUACUUCCUUACAACUUCGAGUGAGUCACACUGUCUUGUACUACAAAUUCUGUUUUUGCCUACUAGCUAGCUACAUGUUUUUGCUUACAUAUGCCCGCUUAAUUAAGACAUGCAAACGUGUGUGCAUGCAGAUUUCACUGGAUCUUGUUAAUCAUUAAAGUUGAUGAAGGAACAGUUGAAGUACUAGACUCACUACUUAAGAAAGCAAGUGACUACACCAUCGUGGAGGGGAUAGUCAACAGGUAAUUUCAAUCAUUAUUAACUAUAUCUCGGCAUAUUUAAUUAGUUCGUCAUUUCCUGAUAACAACUAUUUAAUAACCCAUUUAUUCAUUUUCUUUGUCAGCGGGUAGGGCUUGGGCAAAGUUCAUCAGGGCCACUCCAGGCCCAUGGAAACAAAAUAUGAAAUGGUAUCGACUCCAGGUAAGUAAUUAAGUAGUACUAGCUAGCUGUCAUCUCUUUAAUUAUCAUGCUUGAUUAAUUAUUAUAUGAUCAAAUUCCAUUCUCGUAAAGGCCCUGAAGCAGGCGCCGGGGAAUAAUCUGUGUGCAUACUACGUUUGCAAGAACAUUCGCAUGAUGGCGUCCAAAAGGAGCAGAUCUCAAAGACAGGAGUUGGUACGUUUGUCGGAACACUAUUCACAAUUUUUACACCAUUAUCGAUAUCUAGUCACACAAUUAAUACGCAUGCAUAUUGAUCUCCUUCUUAACAGUUCAAAGAGGUGCGGGAGAAGCUCCUAUCAGAGAACCGCAUAGAAGCAAUUCAAGAGGAAAUAGCGGGAUUUUUGCUCGACCAGGUCAUAGAUCCCAAGGGAGAAUACUAUUACCCGCUACCGCCCCCAUGAACCACUUCCAAUUGUUAUCGUGCUCCGAAGGCACCAAUUAGGCUAAUGCCACUGGCUUCAAAGGCAUCAAUUAUAUAUAUAUAUAUAUAUAUAUAUAUAUACAUGUGUGUAUAUAUGUGUGAAUUAAUUAAUGGUGGUUGUGAGACAUUCGAUGAUAUAUAUAUAGGGUCGCGCUAUUCGUUGCUCAGGGUGAAGAAUUGUUAUUUCUCACCCCGGCCAUCCCUAAGGAACGUGAGGAGGUAAAAUUACACCCUGAAAAAUGGAACCGGUCUAUGUUCUGGAGCUACAAAAGAAACGCAACAAACAAAGGUUUAGAUGUAAAUUUAUCUCACACACGGGUGGCCCGGUACCAAAAAAGCCUCAGCCUUGCGAGGUAAUUUUUACCUCACGCGAAAAACACCCCAUGGAUCGUGGGAGGGCUCUACAUUCUCCACACCAUCUCUACCAGGUCACCUCCACUAUCCGGACCCGUUCCUCGUGCAGCCAUAGCGGUUCUUCUCCGGAUGCCAGCGGAGCAGGUUAGUCUAUCCCUACGCUGGCGUGCCGGCUCCGGUGUCUGGGCAGAAGGGGAGGAGGUCGUCCCACAGCGGGAUACCGUCUAACGGAAGCAGCGGCGCCAAGUCUUACAGGGCCGCACUCUGCGGCGUCGACGCUCUCCACGAGCUCCACUAUUGUAUUGUCUCCUAGCCUCACCUCCCUGAUUGAAUCUGGAUCCAGAGAUUUCAUCGGCGCUGUUGAGUAGUCAUGUUCCAGUUAUCAUCGGCCUCCUCUUCAAGCUGGUCACGAUCGACCUCCUACUUAAUUGUAAGUUGUGGCUGGCUCCUUCAAACGUGGCUGCCUCCACCCCCCUAGUGACAUCCGUACCUACUUUUGAUAAACUGAAGCUUGUUUGUGUAUUCAGAGUGCAUCAGAAUUUUUUUUGUCGUGAGUUGUUAUAUAAGCAGUGGUGCUAAUUAGUGCACUCUUCAAGAAUCACUUGUCCCUGUUGUAAUGAGAGCAGAACGAGGUGCCCAUGUUAUGUGAAAUAAAAAUGCUUAUGUUAAGGUCUUAUAAGAUUAGAACAAGUCGAUGCAUGUAUCUUUUUGAAAUUAGUGACAAAGGUAUCAAUAGCUCAUUUUGUUGUGGGAGCGCCGCUGAACAUUCAACUGUUUUUUUGUGUUGUUUUUUAGAAGUUUUCAUAUAAUGUCUGAAGGCUUAAGUGAUUCUUAGUUCAUACAAUGACCUUGUUCUUGCUGCGUUUCAAUUUUGUGUGCUAAUCUGAUUUUGAGUUCUCUUGGUUUAAUUAAGAACCAGAUCAAUAUUUUCUAGGUAAAGUUGAAGCUUUAUUGAUACAGGAAACCAUUACAAUUAUUUGACGCAACACUUUCUACAGGCUCCGACACAUGCAAGGUCCAAAUAGAACCAGACCCUCAAACUCUAAUCUCAAAAAGGAAAAUUCUUUAGUUUUACAUGGUGUCACAGUGUUGCAACUGGACAUGACAGGCAACUCUUGACCAACGUGUUCCUAAAAUGCUGACUUCAGAUGUUCACUCUGACAAAUUAUUGAUGCAGAGAAAUAAUGAGCUUCUGUCAGUUUUGCAUGUUAACAAAUCUUGCUUGUUAUUAAUAUCUAUCAAUUUUCUCUGUGAGAAUUACAAUUUUGCAUAUUUCCCAACUGUAUUCUCUUGAUACGAAGGGCAUGGAUAAUACAGAUCAAAAUUUCCUUCUCUUCCGCGUGCAACUUCAGAUAUAUGUCUUUUAUACAUGUCAUUUAGCUGGUGAGAUCUGCAUCUUUGCUUUGUAGGUGGCAAGUGAAUCAAGUAAUUUAGUACGGACUAAUAAAUUGCNNNNNNNNNNNNNNNNNNNNNNNNNNNNNNNNNNNNNNNNNNNNNNNNNNNNNNNNNNNNNNNNNNNNNNNNNNNNNNNNNNNNNNNNNNNNNNNNNNNNNNNNNNNNNNNNNNNNNNNNNNNNNNNNNNNNNNNNNNNNNNNNNNNNNNNNNNNNNNNNNNNNNNNNNNNNNNNNNNNNNNNNNNNNNNNNNNNNNNNNNNNNNNNNNNNNNNNNNNNNNNNNNNNNNNNNNNNNNNNNNNNNNNNNNNNNNNNNNNNNNNNNNNNNNNNNNNNNNNNNNNNNNNNNNNNNNNNNNNNNNNNNNNNNCCACUUACGAGAACGAGCACAACCACAACCAUGUGCAGCUACUCCAUCUGUCGAUGCUUGCGUGCAAUCAGAAGCUUGACUAAAGCCGUGCCAAUGCCAGAAGAAGAUAGAAGAAUUCUGAAUCCUAAUGCCAUGGAUGGACCAUGGCAUUCAGUUGGACUUUGGUUAUUCAGUCUAACAAGAUCUGGAUAGAACUGAAAUUUGUAACGGGAAGACAGAUUUCACCAUCGUGUUAUCCUGGUAGCAAAGUGUCUUGUUCAGUGUAUCUGAGAAAAAAAAUGUUGCUUUCUUGGUCUUGGAUUCAUGCUCUGCAGUUUCCUCCGGUGUUCUACACAACAAGUUGUCUACCGGACCACAUUGUGUGUUCUACUCAUUAGCUGUAGACCACACAAAAAAUUUCCUGAGCGUUGUUGCCAAGACAUAAAAAUGACAUGACUACAUCGGUGUAACAAUGAACAAAGAUGAUCCGAGUUUACAUAAAAAUUACAGAGCAAUAAGUUUGAUUCAUUGCUUGACAAAGUAGCACGUACAAAUUCAAUCUAUAGAGAAAACUAAGUUCCUCUCGUCCUUCUCGAGAUGGGCAGUGGUUCAGCCAUGACAAACUGCGGACACUGGAUUUCGAAUUAGAGGUUACAAAACCACAUUGGAUGACCCUACAGUUUUUGCUGUAUCUCUAGUUAGCCUUUACAACAUCCACGUCUGGAUGACCCUACAGAUUCAGCAAAGGUCAUUGAAAAGGUUCCAGGGCCUGGACAAUAGUUACAUGUACACGUAUAUUGCAGCUCCUCGUGACUUCUCCGUCGUGUUUCCAAGGACAAAAAUGUAAGCUGAAAAGAGAAGCAUUAGUUUGAAAGGUAAUCUUCAUAAUCCAUCAGCCACAUGUUACAAGGAACUACAUAAAUAUUAGAAAAAAUAAAUAAAUAUUAGACAGAAAUAAAUAGACGAUUAUCUAUGGCAGUGGUAAAAAGUUCCCAAGGACAAAGAACGUAAUCAUAUUUCAAUAGAUAGCUCUGAAAAAUCCAAAGAAUGUGUUAACGAUGAACAACAACACCGACGAUUCCCUAAGCACUUGACGACAACAAUAGAUACCUCUGUAAUACACAUUCAACUGUAUGUAUAGUUUGUACUUUUUAUAGGUGCGUGUUUUGUACUCUUAGAAGUUUCUUCAUUGGCCUUCUCAAUGUACUGUGAGGUGACAAAACACUCAUGCAACCAGAAUAAUAUUUCCUGUUCAAUCCUACUAAUACAACUCGAUGCUUUACAAAAUUCCAAUAUCAUGGAGUGGAGAUACAUCAAUAGGAAGGUCUAUCAUCCGUAACACUUAUUCAACUGUAUCAUAGCUACACCACCAAAGACUAUCUAAAUGCUACCAAAAACACUCAUGUCCCCGAGAUACAUAAUUGUUCUACAAGGGGAAUUUUUUUCCUAUAGAAGUUGCAAAUAAUAAAUUGAUCAACAAUAUUAGGCAUAUAAUUACACAUUCUAAAACGGAAUACUACCUAACUUGAAAGCUGAUUACUGUCGAACUUGAUCUUCAAGCAGCUUAAUUUGCAGGUGACCAGAAAUUUUACAUCAACUUAUCUAUUCAGCAAUCUCUCCAGCGACUGAAACAUUAUUAUCCAUGGGCUGUAAGCCUGUAACCAACAUAGUAUCCUAUUAAUAGUACUGUACCCUUUAGGUUCACUUUUCUUCUAACCAAAACAUGAAUAUUUCUUCUGGUUAUUAAAGAUGAAGACAUUGCUCUGUAAUUCUCUAUCCCUCAUACAUUAACCGUCAUCCGCUUGAACAGAUACCUGAAAAACAGAAUAUUUUCAGUUCUUAGAAGUAUACGAAUAAAAGGAGGCCACCAACAAAGAAGCACAUAUAACACUUAGGGCCCGUUCGGAAGCUCUCUCGCUUCCCAAGUGGCCAGCUUCUCACGGGAGGUGAUAAGCGUUCGGCAGCAGCGGCAGAUUCUGCUCCGUCAACAUGGGCCAGAGAGGAGAGGACCCCAUAGUCAAAUCACCCUGCGAGGACGCUGGUUCGCUCCGCUCAUAUCGAAUCGUUAUGCAUGCCACUUCGGAAGGGCAUUGGGAUGUAAUAAAGAGCAACUUCUGCUCCUGGUUUUCACGAAGCUUGGGCUGGAGUAGCUCCAGAAAAUUGCACUGCGUCCAGAAUUGCUCCGCGGAGCAGGCUUCUUGAAGCUGCCGGUGUUCGGCCAGCUCCUCACCCGCUUUCGGAGAAGCGCGGAGCCGGAGCACUUCCGAACAGGCCCUUAAAGGAUUAGCAGGCUUCGGUAUCCUAAACUGGAAACAAUGUCAAAAUCAAAGAUAUCAUAGAGGGAUUUUGGAUGCACGAAAUUUAUCGGAAUCACAUGAACCCAUAACACGCUGGCUCCAUGGUAUGAAUCAAAAAUAUAGAGAGAAAUAAGAUAAACAGGCCAAACUCUGUAAUCACUGUUUCAAUGCACACUAAACCGUGUCUUUUAUCAAGUUGUGUGAGGUACAACACUGGAAGUCAUCAUAUUGAACUAGACAUUGUCUGGCACCAAAGAGUCAUCAAAAUGAAACACAUAAUUGACCAGGCACACAUAAUUACUUGCCAAAAAAGUACAUUCCAAUAUGAUUUAUGCUACAAAAAACAAACAACCUGAAUGAAAAAUGAAAAUUUAUUGUUAUAGAAGAUUUUUUUCCUGGACUAAGGGCGGGUUAAAAAAAUUAGCAAAGUUUGACAGGCUUGAUGAGGGUCAGGGUCCACCUGAUGGUAACUAAAAUAAAUCUAACUCGGCUUCCAUGAAUAUUGACAAGCUAGGAGAUGGUCCGUGUAUACCAACAAAUGUUUCCAACCAGCCACAUACAAAAAUCUAGCGUACCAUAUGGAUUCAGCCACAUUCACGAGCUAAUGUACAAAUUCUGAUAGACAAGGUAAGAGAUAUGGGGCCAACAAAAAAUAGGAGCAUGUACAAGAAAUACAUAUUCCAAACUUGCAUGCGACAUCAAUUGCAUCGCUUGUUUACAUCGACGUAAAAUAGGAGCACAUCCAGCUAUAUCCUUCUGUUCAGUGUGUAUCAACAGAUCAAAACUACAAAUAAAUAGGUGCUUAACCAUUUAUCAUUCGCCUUAAGCUCGGUGUAAAAAUGUGAGAAGCAAACCUGAGAAAGUUUAGUGUACUGCAAGUUUAUGUCGUGCUUUCACAGAAGGUUAGUGCUUCUAUGAAUUGGAUAAGGAAAACCAUAUUCUGCAUCUUGCCAUUCGCUAGUUGCUACCAUGUCUCACUACAGAGUUCUGCAGCCUCACUGUAGUGUUCAGGACGAGUCAACGUUUAAGAAAAGACACAUUCAUGUCCUUUAGCAAGAUCCUUGAAUCAAAAAGUUUAAAUUUCAAUCUAUUCAGAGGUAAGAUCAGCCCCGAUGACAGUGUUUGAAGGACUGGAAACCUAACAAAACGGUAUAGGGAGUUAGUGAGAUUGUGCAUUAAGAUAAAACUUACUUGGGCUUGAAUGAUUUGUACUUCUUAUUCGGGAGUGAUUUCUUCGUUGCUCGCAGCAUUCGUCUCGUUCUUUCAAAUUUUCUUGUGUUUUAUCCUUUAUGGUUUCCUUCAGUGCCUUCUUCUACAACAAAGCAGAUGCAACAUAAUUAAUGGGAUGACCAUCCUAAAUAUAGUAGCAGCAUCCCAACUCCACUCUAAGUGAAAACGGUUGGACAUGGCUCUUUGUUUUUCGUACUAGUGGAGCUCCAGGGAAGAAAGAAGGAACAAUUCAUCCAAAACAGAGAGGAAAAUAGGAAACAGGGCUAUCACCUUUGGCUGGAUCGAAGAAGAUACUAAUGUUGUUCCUCCGCAUCGUUGAGCUUCUCCUCUUCUUCUCCUCCUGCAUGAUUUCCACCUCCUUCAAAUGAUCCCACAAUCGAGCGAAGGUCUACUCCAUCACCCCCUCAAACACGCAAGCUCCCCUCUUUUCUUUCAUCUCCUUUCUUGGUCUACUUCCUCUUUCUUUGUCCAUCCUCAAAAAAUCAAGAACCCUAACCCUAAAAAUUCAGAAAUUCAUGGAGGAAAGGGGAAGGAAUAAGAGGAGGGAGACCUUAACGGUGAGAAUACCUCCGGCGGCGUACAGGGACGCCGGAUAAGGUCGUUGCCGUCGCCGAGCUCGCACUGUAUCGCCGCACUGCCCAAUUCGCCUCCUGAUCACUACCCCAUGAAGAGGGAAAGGGGGGAGUACUCCACGUACGAGAGGCGAGUAGCCCUUGUCUCCGGGUCGUCCCUCCGGCACCAUCGCCGUCACUGCCGCCGCCUCGACAAUCGUCGGAGAGGACGGUCCGGGGAGAGAGGGACGGUGUCGAGCCCAUCCGCACUAAAGUGAAACCGCCCGUAGCUGAUUAGAAAGGAUAUAGGUGUUGGGGAGUGGGCUCCUCCUACGGUCCUACUGUACCAGUCAAGCGCUCCUACAAACAUAAAUUUACAGCAGUGGAACAUAAUUUUACAUCGGUCAAGAUUUGCUCCGACCGUGGCUCGGUUGAUGGACUGGGGUGAAGAAUUACUUAUUCUUCACCCUGGGUUAUUAAUAGNNNNNNNNNNNNNNNNNNNNNNNNNNNNNNNNNNNNNNNNNNNNNNNNNNNNNNNNNNNNNNNNNNNNNNNNNNNNNNNNNNNNNNNNNNNNNNNNNNNNNNNNNNNNNNNNNNNNNNNNNNNNNNNNNNNNNNNNNNNNNNNNNNNNNNNNNNNNNNNNNNNNNNNNNNNNNNNNNNNNNNNNNNNNNNNNNNNNNNNNNNNNNNNNNNNNNNNNNNNNNNNNNNNNNNNNNNNNNNNNNNNNNNNNNNNNNNNNNNNNNNNNNNNNNNNNNNNNNNNNNNNNNNNNNNNNNNNNNNNNNNNNNNNNNNNNNNNNNNNNNNNNNNNNNNNNNNNNNNNNNNNNNNNNNNNNNNNNNNNNNNNNNNNNNNNNNNNNNNNNNNNNNNNNNNNNNNNNNNNNNNNNNNNNNNNNNNNNNNNNNNNNNNNNNNAACCUUUUAAUACCGGUUGGUGUCACCAACCGGUACUAAAGGGCUCCCUGCCCCCGAAGCUGGCUCGUGCCACGUGGUUGCCCUUUAGCAGCGGUUCAUGCUGAACCGGUACUAAAGGGGGGCCUUUAGUGCCCACACUUUAGUGCCGGUUACCGAACCGGCACUAAAGGGCCUUACGAACCGGUGCUAUUGCCCGGUUCUGCACUAGUGAUCAUUGGCCCCUCAACAUAUAGUUGGGAUCUAUGUGAGGAAUAACUGUAUUACCGUCAAUACCUCAAGCCCCUCACAUGGAAAGUUAUUCAAGGCCAGUAUGCUGAUUCAAUGAGAAACAUUUCCAGGCAUUAGGGGGAGAAUUCAAGUACCAUAAAGAAUGACAGGAAAUUAGUGGAAUGUUCAACACAUUUCUGCCUCAGAUCCACAUACUCAAAGAUCUGAACCAUGCGUUCGGAAGAUUUGCAAUACAUUGCGAAUAAUCUGCCAUAUUCAUUUACUAACUAUAAAGGUGUCACACAAUCCUACAAUCCUGCAAAAGUACGCCUAAAAAAGUGGAGGUACCAACAAAAUCCACUCCACUCCCCGUUCAAAGCAACAGGAGGAGAUGUAUGGCAGAAGUACAGCAGGAUUCAGCUUCUCGCAAGUAAGGAUAUCAAGGCUUGUGAAUCAGUAAAUGCAAGUCAACUUCACGUUGACAGACACCUAAUGGGUAGUAUACACCCGGUGGACGGGAAACCUCCACCAACCCAUGUCAUAGUGCACACAAUGACCGGGAUAUCGGAAUACCCGACUCAAUCGCAUUGGGAAAUCGCGAGCAGUCACCAUGGGUAACGAUAUUUCCAUCAACUAUAUAUUCAUAUAUAGAUUCUGGAGAAUCAUAUAACCGGAAGUCUGCAAUUGUCGACGUACAUUUCUCAACUAGAUUGCAAAACCUUUCAUAUGAUUCAGAUCCAAAGACCAUGGCCAUGGCAAAGUGUGAACAACACUCGGACUGAACUCAAGCAAAGGGUAUAAUCUAGAUAGAAAUAAUCUUGCUCAAUAAAUGGGAAGGUAUUCAUAAGCAAUACCUACACCAGUUUUCUUCUGGAAACGGAAUUUAGAACAAUGAGAUGGUGAAACAUAGAGCAAGUAUUGUAGCACAAGGGUUCACGCAGAUACCCAACUAUUCUCCAGAGGUGGAAUCUCUUUCCGAUAACUUACAUCAUUGGCAAUACAAAGUCAUGCAAUUGAUAGAUGUAGUGAUUACAUAUACAUGUGGAUCUCUAGAUUCAAACAUAGAUGGUUCCCAAUGGAGUCUCACUUCUGAAUCGAAAUGCAAAACGCAACAUACAAUGUGUAAAAUCAAUAAAUCACCAUAUGGCUAAUUAUUGUCGUUACAUUUGAUACAACCGACGUAGUGAGUUCCUUAUUCACAAGGAUUACUCCUAAAUUAAUGAUUAUCCAUGCAUGAUCGUCAUAUGCAAGGAUUACUCCUACAAUGACGAAUCGUGUGAUGAUCUAAAUGACAGAAUUUGAGAUGAAGGAUUUGGGUAAACCUCGAGCGCCUUCACUCAUGCAUUAUGGUACACCAUGUUGUCUAUAUCCAGAAUAUAUUGGAGAAAUCCAUUGUGGACAAAUAUUAUCCAUCCGCAACUCUCAUGGCAGAUCUUUCUCUAGACGUAGAGAAAGAUCUAUUUAGACCGAGAGAUGAUGGAAACGAGAUAUUGGGACUCAACGUUCCAUAAUGUCAUUGGAUCCACCAAACACAGUUGGUCGGGACUCAAGAAUAUCUUUUGAUAUCUAAGGCAUCAAACAUCUAGUCCUGGGUUUUCAAUUUCAGAGAAAUCUGAACACCAAUAUCAUUGGAUACAUUAAUCAGAUCCCCACCAUGUCAGAUCAUAGACAAGCUUAGUAUUAAUACUACAUCCACCGAUCAUUAUCUCAAAGAUAAUGUUACUUGUGUUCGUCCGGAUGCAAACACAUUAUGAAGCAAGCAAUAUCACUAUAUUGCUCAUCUUGCAAGUCAAAUCAUACAACAAACUUCUACAUUUGUUCACAAAGUCUCUACCAACUUCGGCAUCCAGAAAAUAUUCUUGGAAUUGGUAUUCGACGGCUUUGAGAUAUGCAAGAAUCAGGGGGAGUAUCUUCCUGAAUUACUCUUGUUCAAUGCAUCAUAUUAUACUCUUUUUCCCUUUAUGACUUUACUUCACAUGUUCUCAUUAAGGUUUUUAAUGAGGUAAUAUUAACACAAGAUCAUAUGUCAUAUUUUCUAUUUUCCCCACUGGGGUUUUUAAGAAAGUAUAUACGACAUAUUUAUUGUCCUCUUAAUUCUAUGGGUUUUCCUCAUAUCGAGUUAAAACAGACAAUAAACAUUAUGUGUUGCGGCAUUUUCUUCUUAUUUUUCCCACUGGAUUUGAAGGAGUUUUGGCAACAUAUCAAACACUAUACUCCUCAUAUUUUUCUCACAGGGUUUUUGGAGGAGACUCUAAUCAAGAUGAUGAUUCUGGAUGGACACUCGUUGUCCCCCUUGCUUGGCUCUUCCUCUAACCGGUUGUUGUGUAACAAGUGAGUAGGGCCCAGUAGAAGGCCCAUGAAUUUUUCUCAUCAACUUGAUGAAUUAAUUUUAAGAUAUAGGACUUCCCUAUUAGAACAGGUUGCUCAAAGGGGUCGCCUGUUCUUCCUGUUAAGAAUAAAGCAACGUCAUUAGCACUAAGAGUCGUCACGUGUGUCCAAAGCGCCGUACGGACGCGAACGUCCGUACAGGUGUCUUCUUGCGCCACAGGCGCCUGUUGUAAACGGACGCCUCUCCAGAGGUGCCCCAAAUCCUUGUAUAAAUGGGGCUUUGCCCAGAAUCAAUAGAACACAAGUUUUUCAUCAAAUCUUUGCAUGUUAUCAGCCACGCUAGCCUCGGCCAACAAAGCACGAACAAGAAGAGACGAGAAGGUAAGAUGGCAGGUAUGAACCUGCAUAGAAUCACCUCUGCCCUUGUUCGAUUCAUUGGACGGGAGAUCCGUCGAUCUGCCAGACGCCACAGUGCUGGUGCUCCUCGACAUUGGGGCCCAGGCAACAGUCGCCGUGGUCGUCGUGGUCGCCGUGGUCGUCGGGAGCACCCUGGCCCCGCCGCCGCAGAACAGGCAGGACCAAGCAACUCAUCUGUCGCCGUCCACCAUGCCUACCAGGCACCCCCGAUGCCGGCCUUCGUCACUCCGCCAAUGGACUGGGCUCCCGCCGAGGCUGCAGCCUCGUUCCUGGGCGAGGAGGAGUUCUUCAACGCCGCCCAGGCCUCGCCACCGCCAGGGGUCUUCUUCGGCAAUGGCAUGGACGCAGGCGUGGCCUUCUGUCUAGUGCACGGAUAUGGCCCUUGCCCGGCCCGCGAUUUCUGCCCCGUGCACGGGUACGGGCCGUGCCUGAGGGAGUCCUGGAUUAGGGGGUGUUCGGGUAGCCGGACUAUACCUUCAGCCGGACUCCUGGACUAUGAAGAUACAAGAUUUAAGACUUCGUCCCGUGUCCGGAUGGGACUUUCCUUGGCGUGGAAGGCAAGCUUGGCGAUGCGGAUAUUCAAGAUCUCCUACCAUUGUAACCGACUCUAUGUAACCCUAACCCUAUCCGGUGUCUAUAUAAACCGGAGGGUUGUAGUCCGUAGGCAAUCAACUCCAUAUACAACAAUCAUACCAUAUGCUAGCUUCUAGGGUUUAGCCUCCUUGAUCUCGUGGUAGAUCUACUCUUGUGCUACCCAUAUCAUCAAUAUUAAUCAAGCAGGACGUAGGGUUUUACCUCCAUCAAGAGGGCCUGAACCUGGGUAAAACAUCGUGUUCCCUGCCUCCUGUUACCAUCCGGCCUAGACGCACAGUUCGGGACCCCCUACCCGAGAUCCGCCGGUUUUGACACCGACAUUGGUGCUUUCAUUGAGAGUUCCUCUGUGUCGUCUCCUUUAGGCCCGAUGGCUCCUUUGAUCAUCAACAACGAUGCGCUCCAGGGUGAGACUUUUCUCCCCGGACAGAUCUUCGUCUUCGGCGGCUUCGCUCUGCGGGCCAAUUCACUCGGCCACCUGGAGCAGAUCGAAAGCUACGCCCCUGACCAUGAAGUCAGGUUUGGAAGCUUAAACUACACGGCUGACAUCCGCGGAGACUUGAUCUUCGACGGGCUCGAGCCACGGCCAAGCGCGCCGCACUAUCUCGAGGGGCAUGAUCUAGCUCUGCCCCCGGACAGUGUCCUGGAGGCAGCACACGCAUCGGUUUCGACCCCUAACUCGGAGCCUAUUGCGCCAAUCGAGGAUGAGCGGUUGGACGUCACCUCGGGGGCUGCGAUCCCGAAAGCGAUCGAGCCGAAUGCUAGCCCCGCACUCUGCACGACCCGUGACUCCAAGGAUCCGGACUCCUCCCCGGACUCCAAACCCCCCGCGCCCCUGCCAAUCGAAUCCGAUUGGGCGCCGAUAAUGGAGUUCACCGUCGCAGACAUCUUUCAGCACUCACCUUUUGACGAUAUCCUGAACUCUCUCAAGUCUCUCUCCUUAUCAGGAGAGCCCUGGCCGAACUACGGUCAGCGAGGAUGGGAUACGGACGAUGGAGAAAUUCAAAGCCCACCCACCACCUACUUGGUAGCCACUGUCGACAAUUUAAACGACGUGCUCAACUUCGACUCCGGAGACAUCGACAGCAUGGAUGACGAUGCAGGAGAUACCGACGAACCAACGCCCAUAGGGCAUUGGACAGCCACCUCAUCUCACGAUGUGUACAUGGUGGAUACCCCUAAAGGAAACAACAACGAGGAAAAAGGAGAUGGGACGGGAGAUCGACCCCCCGAAAAGCAAUCAAAGCGUCGGCGUAAACACUGACCCAAGCCCCGCCUCGACAAAAACCCAACCAUAGAGCAGGACGAGCCGGUAGACGACGAGCAGGCCUUAGAGCAACCAUCUGAACAGGGCAACACGGAUAGAGAAACCGAACAUCCCUCCUCCGGCAAAAACGGCAUUCCGGACGACCUCCCGUCGGAUAAACCUAUGGAGCAGAAGAAUCUCCACGAGAGGCUCGUUGCAACUGCACGCAGCCUAAAAAAGCAUAAGCGGAAGCUAAAAACAGCGGAAGAUGCACUCCGGAUUAGAUGGAGCAAAAUAAUCAAUACCGCAGAUAAAUACGGCGACAGUCGGCGCACUAAAAGCUAUCCAAAAAGAAAGCUACUGCCUGAAUUCGACGAAGAGGCCCUAGAGCCCUCGCAUUCAAAAAAUGAGAAAGCCACACGGUCGGAUAGACGACCCCAUAAAGCGACAAGCGGCGCCGCACCUAGAUCGGCAUGCGACCCACUUAAGGAUUCGCAUCAUGGCCCAGUUAGGUCCAUUUAUGGGCCAAGAAAGCAAGCUCUCAUAAGCAAUGCUAUGAAGCCAUCAUCAGAAUCCGGCACACCCAAGUACAGGGGCGCCGCACACCCCCUAUGUUUCACCGAUGAGGUCCUGGACUAUGAAUUUCCAGAGGGAUUCAAACCCGUAAACAUAGAGGCAUAUGAUGGAACAACAGACCCCGGAGUUUGGAUCGAGGAUUAUAUCCUCCACAUACACAUGUCUAGAGGAGAUGAUCUCCACGCCAUAAAAUAUUUACCCCUUAAGCUUAAAGGACCAGCCCAGCAUUGGCUUAAAAGCCUUCCUGAAAACACAAUUGGAAGCUGGGAAGAGCUCGAGGAUGCUUUCCGAGCAAACUUUCAAGGGACCUAUGUCCGCCCUCCGGAUGCAGACGAUCUUAGUCACAUAACUCAACAACCCGGAGAAUCAGCUCGGCAGUUCUGGAAUAGAUUCCUCACUAAAAAGAAUCAGAUAGUCGACUAUCCGGACGCCGAAGCCUUAGCAGCUUUCAGGCAUAACGUCCGAGACGAAUGGCUCACCAGACACCUCGGCCAAGAAAAGCCAAGAACAAUGGCCGCACUAACAAGCCUCAUGACCCGCUUUUGUGUAGGGGAGGACAGCUAGUUGGCAAGGUGCAGCCCCAGCGACCCAAGUACAUCCGAAACUAGGGAUGGAAAUGGAAAACCGCGACGCAACAAGGACCGUCGUUGGACUAAGGACAAAAGUCCGAAGAGCACGGCANNNNNNNNNNNNNNNNNNNNNNNNNNNNNNNNNNNNNNNNNNNNNNNNNNNNNNNNNNNNNNNNNNNNNNNNNNNNNNNNNNNNNNNNNNNNNNNNNNNNNNNNNNNNNNNNNNNNNNNNNNNNNNNNNNNNNNNNNNNNNNNNNNNNNNNNNNNNNNNNNNNNNNNNNNNNNNNNNNNNNNNNNNNNNNNNNNNNNNNNNNNNNNNNNNNNNNNNNNNNNNNNNNNNNNNNNNNNNNNNNNNNNNNNNNNNNNNNNNNNNNNNNNNNNNNNNNNNNNNNNNNNNNNNNNNNNNNNNNNNNNNNNNNNNNNNNNNNNNNNNNNNNNNNNNNNNNNNNNNNNNNNNNNNNNNNNNNNNNNNAACACGGACGAUCCAUCCAACCUAAAUAAAAUCCUGGACAGGAUAUGUCAGAUACACAGUACUCCCGGGAAGCCUGCUAACCAUACCCACAGAGACUGUUGGGUUUUCAAACAAUCCGGCAGACUCAAUGCCGAACACAAGGGGCUCGACACACCAAGCGAAGACGAGGACGAACCCCAAAAGUAGAGCACCGGGAAACAAAAGAACUUUCCACAAGAAGUAAAAACAAUGAACUUACUUCACAUAACAAAACGUGCGGCGCCCAUAAAGGUACGCACCACACGACCUAUCCCCAAAGGGUCCCGCCACUGGUUGUCAAAACCAAUCAUCUUCGAUCAGCUAGAUUAUUCUAGAAAUAUCAAGAAUGCAGGCUGGACUGCCUUCAUACUCGAUCCAAUAAUUGGCGGACUCCGGUUUUCAAAUGUCCUUAUGGACGGCGGCAGUGGACUAAACCUGAUAUAUCAGGAUACAAUCCAUCACAUGGGGAUAAACCCAGCAAGAAUCCGCCACAGCAAAACCUCCUUUCAAGGGGUAACACCUGGUCCGGACACCCAUUGUAUGGGUUUUCUCCGGCUCGAAGUUAUACUCGGCUCUGCCGAUAACUUCCGCCGCGAAAAGUUGACCUUCCAUAUCGUCCCGUUCUCAAGUCGCUAUCAAGCACUACUGGGACGCGAAGCUUUCGCCCGCUUUAACGCAAUACCGCAUUAUGCAUCUCUAACGCUUAAGAUGCCCGGUCCACGAGGCAUCAUCUCUUUGAAUGGGAAGCACUAAAGUGCGCCUCCCCAAGCGGAGGACUGUGCGGCCGCUUUGACAGCCCCACAGUAAAAUGGCCUCACCGGCCAAAAAACUUCGAAAUAGGUCAUUAAAGACCACGAACGCGGAUAGACGAGUUUGGGACAAAAUCAUCAUUGAUGCAGGCUUAGUGGCCAUAUACCCCCACUAGGGGCUCCAUGCAUAUACAAUAAGAGACAAUAAAGCUCAAUUUUAUAUAUUUUACUUUAUACUUUGUUUAUUUUAAACUUUUGUUCAGCAUGACCCGUUUUCAACUCAGUUCCUCUCUUUUACAGAUGAACGUCGUGCGGCGCCCGUCCAAGAUACGGCACAACGGAGACACAGGCGCAGACGUGCAGUAGGGACCCAUCCUAAAGGAUUCUUUUUAGAUUAAGACCCUGCGUAAACCUUUUUUACUGUCUCUUGUUGCUACACAUCCCCUGGUUCUUUCUGACAUAACCAAGGAGGCUGGCGUCUUGGCAUGUGGCCACGUCAGAAUUUUUGCAUGUACCUGGACACUAGGGGCUUUUUUAAUAAAGAGUGUUGUUUCGCCCGCACUCAUAAAGACCGAACACCUUAGGGAGUGUUCGGCGUCGCGAGUUUUGGCAUUAUAUGCAUCAGCUCCGAAUCAUGUCUUUGGUCAAAUGUUGGGUUGCCCGGCUCCUGAGUUCCGCUACCUUACGUUCCGCUCUAUCGGCUAAGGUAGCACCAGGAGAACUACUACGAUUGUGCCCCGGUUCGGCCGGGCGAGCACCUCAGUAGAGAAAGCCGAAAACUGACUGUCAUGAUGUAGCGUGAGACUGGUCAGUCACUCGAUGACCUAUCGGAAUCUAUUGGAUUCCUCCGCUUUAACGAAGGGCCGCUUUCCGGUCAGGCACAUACGCGCCCCGAACUCGGGCGAGCGCAGUCGCCACCAAGGGGCUACCUAAAUAGUCCCACUGUCAAGCUCCUAUGGCUAAGUGAAAGUAUUAAAGCAUUAUAGUCCGGUUGCCUGGCCCGCUGCGCUAUCACCUCCUUUGUAGGACCAAGACGUUGGGUUAAGUGUGAAAAUGCGUCUUCUGCGAGCACCCCCGCACUAUGUGCGUGGGGGCUGAAGCCAACGACUGCCAUCUUUCAGAUUUUGUAUAUAUAUAUCUUAAAACGGCCGCACAGGAGGUGUUCCCAAUACUUGAAGGCACAAGUAUAAAAAGGCCACUACUGUUUAUCAAAAUAUUACUUUAUAAUUACAUAUGCUAUCAUAACAUAGCAUCUUUCGAGCAUUGCGUCUCUAUUACACGGGCGCCUUCAAGGACUUCCUGAAAAUAGUGCUCGAAGGAUACUCGGCUUUUGUCCGAAUCUCGGGACGCAACAACGGUGGUCUCCAUCUCUGCCCAGUAUGUCUUGACACGGGCAAGAGCCAUCCUUGCGCCCUCUAUGCAUGCUGACCUCUUCAUUGCAUUAAUACGCGGCACCGCGUCAAGGAAUUGCUGCACCAAGCUGAAAUAACUCUUCGGCUCCGAUCUCCCCGGCCACAGAUGACCCAUGACGUACUUCAUGGCGAGUCCAGACAACCUAUUCAGUUCGGCCCAUUGAGCCAAACGAUCGUCCACUGCCAGUGGACGCUCUGGAUUGUGAAACUGCGACCAGAAAAGCUUUUCCACUUCGCGAUCUUUUUGAUCACGAAAGUGUUCGGUCGCAUCAGCAACACUCGCUGCCAGAUCCAGAUAGGUAUCCUCCACACUCCACAUCCGGUCCAACGGAGCAAACUUCGGAUUGCAAAAUUUCCUUCGCAGCAUAAAGGCCUUUCCAGCAGCAAUCUGUUCGGCCUGACGCAGCUCCUCCUUCGCAGCUCUCAUCACAGAGCGCGCGUCCUUGGCAUUGGCAACGGCCUUCUCUAAGUCUGUCUGUUUCGCCUGGUCUUCUUUCUCAAGAAGUCUGCAACGGUCUACAGCACUCUUUAACUUUUCGGCCAUCUCGGCCAUCUCUUCCUUGCUUCGGCAAUGAGCAGCCUAUUCGGCUCUCAGCUCUUCAAGGGCUUUCUUGGCAGCCGCAUCACUUUCUCUGGCUUGAUCUUUAGCUCGAGCAAGUUCUGCCCUAAGACUCUCCACGGCGACCGCACCAUCUGCGUCAAGCACACACAUCGUAAGACACUGGCAUAAAACUCUUCUUACCUAAUGCCGCCCGAGGAAUUACAUACCUUGAGCCUCAUCAAGCCGCUUGCUGACAAGCGCGAUGUCGGCAUCUGCCACGUCCAGUUGCCGCUUUAGUUCGGCAAAAUCAUCAGUUCGGCUCGAUUCCGGACACCCUGCCACCUACAUUCAAAGGUGACAUCUUAGACUUGGGAUUAUGAUCUUCCGCGUGCCGUCAUUUCUUGACGAAGCGCAGAGUCUCAGGGGCUACUAUCUACACAGGGUGCAUCUUAUUCAUGCGCAACUGACAAAAGUGUACAUUAUCUAAUGUACCUCAAAACCCGUCAGUAAACUUUUGACGGCCUCAUGCAAUCCACUCUCUACGGAUGAGAUCCUUUCAAUCAUCGUGCCCAUCAAUGCACGGUGCUCCUCCGAGAUAGAAGCUCGCCCCAGCAGAAUCUUUAGCUCCUCCGGCCGAGCACCAGACGGUUCUGGACUUGUCCCACGACCUCUUUCGAAGGCCGGACGCGGAGAACCUCGGGGGGGCACAUAGCUAUCUUCCGCCCCUGACGGAUUCGGAGAAACCCUCCGCGACGAUACCUCAGGAUCGCCCGCCUCGCUAGGCGGCACGGCAGGGGGAGGCGUCCCGCUCUCCAUCAUCUCCGUAAGGAGAUCCCCCGAAGACGAGCUCUGCUGAGAAGGGCUGAGGUCUGAGCUACAAGGUAAAAAUUCGGUUAAUCUUCUCAGAUAUAAAUCAAGGAUUUCCCUCAUCCCUCAAAAGGAAAAUCUUUCUCUACUUACGGCUCGCUGGAGGGCUGAUCCCCUUGAGGGCGUAGUCCGGCCGAGGAACUCCCCGGCGCCGGACCCUCUGACGAGGAUUUUCUCCCCCGCUUCGAGGCCAUGGUUUCCGGGUCGUCAGAGGCGGCUCUCUUCUUCCCCUUAGGAGAGGAAUUGUCGGUUCCUCCCUUCGGAGCAGCCUCCUUCGAGGAGGCCAUAGCUUCCUUGUCCUCCCCCUCCAAAGGCAUUAUCUCCAGCAUCCUGACUAGCACAGGAUCCGGCCUGGUUUCAGGAAGGGGAGCCGGACACCUGAUCAGCUUUGCCUUCGCUAUCCACUCCUGUUUAAAAGGACGGCUCUUUUAGGGGCAAGUUUAUGAAAAUUAUACGGAUAGAAGGUCCGGGCACAAGGUUGCUUACUUGAGUAUCCGGGCGAUUGCAGCUUAGGCCUGCGUCCUCGGUUAAAUCCAGACACAUCCCUUGUGAUCCGAAGAACAGUUUAUACAUCUCCGCGGGCGUUGCACCCAUGAAAUUUUGGAGAGCUCGCGGUCCCUCUGGGUUAAACUCCCACAGGCGAAGGGAGCGACGUUUGUCGGGCAAUAUUCGGCGAAUUAGCAUGACCUGCAUCACCUUGACCAGGCUGAGGUCUCCUUCCAAGAGAUCCUUAAUGCGGCCCUGUAACAAGGGCACGUCUUUGGGCAAACCCCAAUCUAACCCUCUGUUAAUCCAUGACGCUAGCCGUGGUGGGGGACCCGAGCGAAAGGCAGGAAGCGCCACCCACUUGGUGCUCCGGGGAGUGGUGAUAUAAAACCACUCUCUUUGCCACAAGCCUAGCUCCUCUUGAAAAGAGCCCUCGGGCCAUGGAGCAUCAGCAUUUUUGCUUAUAACAGCGCCUCCGCACUCUGCGUGCCGUCCCUUGAUCAUCUUCGGCUCCACUUCGAAAGUCUUGAGCCAUAAUUCGAAGUGAGGGGUAACACGGAGGAACGCUUCACAUACGACGAUAAACGAGGAGAUAUGGAGGAUGGACUCCGGAGCUAAGUCGUGAAAUUCCAGCCCGUAAUAAAACAGCAGUCCCCUCACAAAGGGAUCCAUUGGGAAGCCUAACCCCCGAAGGAAGUGAGACACGAACACUACGCUCUCACCGGGCUGGGGACUAGGGAUAGCCUGCCCUUGAGCAGGCAACCUAUGCGAAAUUUCGGCGGUCAAGAACUUAGCCUCUCUCAACUUUAGCACGUCCUCCUCCGUGACGGAGGAGGGCAUCCAUCGGCCUUGAAGGUCGGAACCGAACAUUGUCGAAGGUCUGAGGCGCCCGGAAUCUGGAGCCUAGGGUAUUGGAACUCGAGGCGACGGGCGAACUCGUUUUGGGAUUGGAGAAAAGGAGUAAGGCCCUGGUCUCUUUAUAAGAGGUUGAAUACCAAGAGCCCUCCCCGUAACUGUUUGGGACUCGCCUUUAAUCGAGAAAACAUGCUAACGGGCACAAUUGGGUUACCCACGUCCGUAUUGAUGAGAAUCCCGUAAAAGGGAGGCACACGAUCUCUGCUUUGACAAGACGUGCCAAGGAAACUGCCUCGCAAAAUACGCUGAGGUGGAAAGGUGAAAUCGAUUCGAGUAAAGGACUUGGCUGUAGUGUGAUGACGCACUGCGGAAUACGUCAGCAGAUUUGAUUUUUGUUAAUAUUAUUCUCUCUAUGGCAAUAUGUGAAAGCUUAUUUUGCAGAGCCGGACGCUACUCUUGGUGUUUACAAUCUUCUAUGAAGGACUUGGAGGAGGAACCCGCCUUGCAAUGCCAAAGACAAUUUGCGCGCCGGACUCGUCGUCAUUGAAGCCUGGUUCAGGGGCUACUGAGGGAGUCCUGGAUUGGGGGUGUUCGGGUAGCCGGACUAUACCUUCAGCCGGACUCCUGGACUAUGAAGAUACAAGAUUGAAGACUUCGUCCCGUGUCCGGAUGGGACUUUCCUUGGCGUGGAAGGCAAGCUUGGCGAUGCGGAUAUUCAAGAUCUCCUUCCAUUGUAACCGACUCUAUGUAACCCUAACCCUAUCCGAUGUCUAUAUAAACCAGAGGGUUGUAGUCCGUAGGCAAUCAACUCCAUAUACAACAAUCAUACCAUAGGCUAGCUUCUAGGGUUUAGCCUCCUUGAUCUCGUGGUAGAUCUACUCUUGUACUACCCAUAUCAUCAAUAUUAAUCAAGCAGGACGUAGGGUUUACCUCCAUCAAGAGGGCCCGAACCUGGGUAAAACAUCGUGUUCCCUGCCUCUUGUUACCAUCCGGCCUAGACGCACAGUUCGGGACCCCCUACCCGAGAUCCGCCGGUUUUGACACCGACAGUGCCCUUCACCACCGGCCACUCCACCGGAACCGGAGGUCAUCGAUGAGCCGCUCGCCUACCCGAACCUCCCAACGCGUACUCCCGCCGACGAAGACGAGGAGCACUUCGCCCCUCCAGGCUAUGGCCCUGUGCCCACCAUGAUGGAGUGGGAGGUGACACCGAACGAAGAGGAGGAGCAGUGGCUCAACUCCGUUGUGAAGCCGGAGCCAACCACGUCGGCGGAGACCGACGAACCCGGAGCCACAUCCCCGACCUCAACACUGCCACUGGCGGGAAGAUCGAGGAAGCGGCGUCGUCUUCCAAGGCCCCAGCAUCUCCACCGCCUCCGCCCCCGGCAAGCCCGCGAACACCCCCACCGACGGCUCACCGGAUCCUUCGCCGUUUCACGGCGGCGCUGGAGCAGCACCGCCCCGGCCUCCGCUCCGGCUCCUGGGCCCCUGCAGGCCUCCACCUCCCCGGCUACGCUGCGGGGGGGGCACCCUCCUCCUAAAGAUCGCCGGCGCUAGGCGCCAUCGGCGGCGGCCGGCGGGAUCCCGUGAAGGUGGUGGUGGAAUGGGGGGAAUUGACCCCAACCGCCCCACCUCUCGUCCCCCUUAUCCGCUUGAUGUCUCCAUCAGCGGCGCCGCCAUGGGCCUGGGCUGAAAGGCCUCGUGGGCUGUGGCCCAUGUUGCAACGACCAGAAAAAAAACCAAUGGGUUAUAGGCUAGAUUGCAGAAAAAUCCUUAUAUUAUCAGGGAUUUCAUGCAUUAGUCCAACUACUAGUACUAAUUUAGUGCUUGUCAUGUUUUAGCCCCGUAAAUUUGGGAAUUCGCAGAUAGGUUCAACUACUAGUGCUAUAAUUAAGUACUUGUCAUGUUUUAGACCUUGUAUCUCGAUGUGAUUAUAUAUUGUACUCAAUUAAAUUGUGUAUUGAUGUUUAGACCAUAUUAUUUCUAUAAAUCAUUAUAUGUUCAAUGUGUUUGCAAUUUGCAAUCCCUAUAACAUGUACAAAUGGUACAAUAAUAUUAUUUUGCAAUUAAAAAUCAUUUAUUCUUGCAACUCAAAUAUUAAUUCGCCAUCAAUUAAGUCCAAAAAUGCCUAUGUAGCACAAAAAUAGACUUAAUUCGAAUAGAAUUUAUACAAAGUUCAAGUCUUUACUUGAAUUCACAACAAUUGCAAAAUUUAUUACAACAUGACCAUGAUGAUUUUAAUUUACAUACAAGUAAAUUGAUCGAUUAUCUGGUUCUCAAUCUUGUAGGACAAAAUGACCGUCAAAGAAUUUGAAGAGCUUGCGCUCGACGGACACAACUAUCCUACAUGGGCUAUGGAUGUUAAAAUCAGUCUUUCAUCCCAUGGAAUUGCAGCUGCACACAUACCUCCUGCAGACCCUCCCCAAGAGGGAAUUGCACAAUUAAACAAACAACAACAAUAUGCUGCUUUAUACAUAAUAAGGCACCAUAUCCAUCCAGAUCUGAAAUCUAAAUAUUUGAUGGAGGAAUCUCCAAGCAAUAUGUGGCAAUCACUUAAAACUAGAUAUGAACAGCAAAAGGCAGUUAUACUUCCCGAAGCUAGUCAUGAGUGGACCCAUUUAAGACUCCAAGAUUUCAAAUCGAUCGGAGCUUAUAAUCAUGAGGUUCAUAAAAUUUGCUCAAAGUUGCGGUUUUGCGAGAAGGAGCCUACAGAAGCAGAUAAGAUAGAAAAGACUCUAUCCACUAUGCUCCCAGCUGACAGGAUCCUACAGCAACAAUAUCGUGCCCGCAAUUAUACAGUUUACUCUGAACUUAUACAUGUGCUCCUCCAGGCUGAGAAACACGAUGAACUUCUGCUAAAGAAUAGUAAUCAACGCCCAGUUGGGGCCGCUCCUCUGCCUGAAGUACAUGCAAAUUUUCAGAAAAAUACCAAGUUCAAUGGUUCUUUCAAAGGUCAAAACAAGAACUUCAAGGGUAAGAGCAACCACAACAAGAAGAACAAGCCACAAAAUUCAGACAAGGGGAAGGGCAUAACAAAGAAUAAGUUUGAUAAAACUAAACUUUGCCAGAAAUGUGGAUGCUACAAGCAUGUCACCAAAAAAUGCCGCACCCCAAGACAUCUGGUAAACCUCUACCUGCAAUCCAUGGGACGUAACAGACCUGCCCAAGGAGCAAGAUAUGAAGCUCACUUCAAUCUUCAACCUGAUAACAAGAAGGAAGCUGGUUGUUCGCAAGAUGUUCGAGGAGCACCAAGUAACAACAAGGAAUUCCAUAUAUCACGGGACUCCAUGGACACGGAGAAUAUGAUGACCGAAUACACCGCCGACAUGUUCGGGGACUUUGACUAGUCAAUUGAGCAACAAAAAUACAAGCUCCAGUAAAUGAUUUUUGUUUUACACAAUGCCUCAGGUUUGUCGAUUGUUGUCUUUUCUCGAGAGGUUCUCCCUUUAACAGGGGCUCGAGCAUCCAUUUUGCAGACAAAAACAUCAUUGGCAAGAAGGAGAGCCUUGGCGCAGUGGUAAAGCUGCUGCCUUGUGAUGCAACACAGUUCACAAAAGAUGCAGAAAAAAAUGUAUCAACAAAUAGAACAAGGCGGAAUCUGUUAAAAGACACAGGAAGGAUUGGGAAGAACCAUCAGCAGCAAAUCCUUUCAACUCAACAUAAUACAGUCCGCAUCUUGGUAGGAUCGCUCACAGGCAACCCAGCUGGAAACAUUUUCUCAAAAAACACUUGAUGUCGAUGGCAAAAUUUGCAGACAAACAAAUUUGAAAAUACAAGUAUUUAUCCUUGAGGCGGCUCAGAUGUCAAAUGGGUUGUAAGUUUCUUUAUCAGCACAAAGAGAUAAAAAUCUCUUCAGAGUGGUGCAUGACUUUUCUCAUCAUAGCCUUUUGCUUCCACAGAGCAUCCAUUUGCAGACAGAAUCAUCAUCGGAAAACCAACUAAUUCAGAUGAAAUGCAACAAGGUUCACGAAACCAGAUACUGAGCUGCAGAGGGGGAAAACACAGGUAUCAGAUGAGGGCACUCCAUAUGUUUAGACUGACCCAUUCAAAAUAGGAAGGAGAAAUCCGUUCAGGAUAGGGGGGUUGGAAAUAAGAAGAAGUUAGGAAGGGGGAUCGGAAAGAGGACCCAUCAGCGGCAAAUGUAUCUGACCUUAAUGUAAUUUCAGUAAGCAUCAUCUUAGGACCGCUCAUAGGCUACCCUCGUCAUUUGCUUCUGUACAUUAUCCCUAAAAUCCAGUUAACCUUCAAGACUUCUAUUUUCAAACUACAGAAUUUACCUGAAGGCAAAAGCUGGAAACAAUUCCUAAAAACAAAUAGACGUCUACGUCGAAAAUAUAGGAUAAAAAAUCAGAAAAUACAAAAUAUGUAUCCAUGAGGUGGCUCAGAUUUACAAUGGGUUGUAAAGUUUGUUUAUCAGCACAGAGAUAAAUCUCUUCAAAGUGGUUCAUGACUUUUCUCAUCAUAGCCUUUUUGCUUCCACAGAGCAUCCAUUUUGCAGACAGAAUGAUAAACCCAGAACAAGUAAUUCAGAUGUAAUGAAACGAGGUUCAGGAAGCCACCAAUAGGAAAAAAAUACCAUUCAAGAUUACGGAGUAAUGAAAAUAUAACCAUCAUUUAACCUCAAUGUAAUUUCAGUCCGCAUCAUGGUAGGAUAAAUGUUGGGCAACCCUCGUCAUCUGGUUCUGUACAUUACUCCCCCGAUCUAGUUAAUCUUAAGACUCUUGUUCAAAACUAAAGUAUUUUCCCAAUGGCUAAAUCUGGAAACAGUUUCUGAAGACAUCUAUGCCGAGACGAUAAACAAAAAAUACGAAAAUAGGUCUCCAUGAGGUGGCUCAGAUGUAAAAUGGGUUGUAAGUUUGCUUUAUCAGCACAAAGAGAAAAAUUUCUUCAGAGUGGUGCAUGACUUUUCUCAUCAUAGCCUUUUGCUUCACCAGGGAGAACAAUGUCAUGGAAUACAGCAGAUUUGUCGAUUGACAUUAUAAUACUAGGAAGCGCAAUAUGGAAUGCCUCAGAUUUGUCAUUUGAUGUCAUUUUACAUCUGCUUCCUCAAGCGGUUCUCCCUGAAAAAGGGGCUUGAGUCCACAGAGCAUCUGUUUUCCAGACAGAAUCAUCAUCGGAAAACCACAGGUAAUUCAAAUUUAAGAUGGCAUGCAACAAAGGCAGUUGCUAAGUAAAUAAAUCAAGCACCUGAAUUCAACCAUACUACUAAAAUCACUGGGCAAUAAGCAGCACAAUAUUAUACAAAGUCUCUGCUUCAUUCUCCCUGAAACAGGGGGCUUGAACUUGCAGCCAAAAUAAGCAUGCCAAAAAUUAAAUUUUCAGAACUCAACUCUACACUAUAAUCAAAAGGCAAUGAGCAGAAAUGUUUUGAGAUAAGCACAAAGUCAAGACAAUGGAAGCAUAGCCAAAAACAGUUAAACCAAUGUGGCAUCUCAAGUUGCCAAAACUGAGAUGCACCUGAAGCACAAGGCCAGAACUAACGAAUCACUAUGCGCCUCUGACUGGGCAACUUUGAGAAAGGUCGACCUCAAGAAGCCAAAGGUGAGAGAGGCACACACAAAAUCAAAUGGCAGGAAACAAGCUCAUCAUCACAAAGCAGUAUUCACCCCAGCAUGAUAGCAGAGUGAAAUUGCAAACGGGAAAGCAGGUAAUCAUAUCCAUCUAUUAAGAGCAUUCAACACAGGCAGACAAAACCACAAAUGGGAUAAGAGCACAAUAAUGGAAUCGAAAUAGAGUAUUUAAACGACACAUCAUAGCUCGCACACAGGUGCAGGAGUCGGAAGUGCAACAACGCCCAGGAACACCACUUAACAUACACUAAGAUUCUCCAAAAAAGACUUGACACUAAAACUUCUGCUAGAUAACUCGAUGGCAGACACCAGAGCACUCAUUUCUUCUUGAUGGCAGCCUUGGUAACCUUGGCGCCGGUGGGGUCCUUCUUCUCAACGCCCUUGAUGACACCAACAGCAACCGUUUGUCUCAUGUCACGCACAGCGAAGCGGCCAAGAGGUGGGUAGGUGGCGAAGGUCUCCACAACCAUGGGCUUGGUGGGAAUCAUCUUCACAAUACCAGCGUCACCGUUCUUCAGGAACUUGGGCGCAGCCUCAAUCUCCUUACCAGAUCGCCUGUCAAUCUUGGUCACCAGCUCAGCAAACUUGACAGCAAUGUGGGAGGUGUGGCAGUCCAGCACUGGGGCGUAGCCGUUGCCGAUCUGACCAGGGUGGUUCAUGAUGAUGACCUGAGAGGUGAAGUUGGCUGCCUCCUUGGCAGGGUCAUCCUUAGAGUUGGAUGCAACAAACCCACGCUUCAGAUCCUUGACAGCAACGUUCUUCACGUUGAAGCCGACAUUGUCACCAGGAAGCGCCUCCAGGAGGGACUCGUGGUGCAUCUCAACGGACUUGACCUCAGUUGUCAGACCAGUGGGGCCAAAGGUAACAACCAUACCAGGCUUGAUGACACCAGUCUCAACGCGUCCAACAGGCACAGUUCCAAUGCCACCAAUCUUGUAAACAUCCUGAAGGGGAAGACGCAGGGGCUUGUCUGAGGGCCUCUUGGGCUCAUUGAUCUGGUCAAGAGCCUCAAGAAGGGUAGGGCCCUUGUACCAGUCAAGGUUGGUGGACCUCUCAAUCAUGUUGUCACCCUCAAACCCAGAGAUGGGAACGAAGGGAACCUUCUCAGGGUUGUAGCCGACCUUCUUCAGGUACGAAGAGACUUCCUUGACGAUUUCCUCAUAACGGGCCUUCGAGUACUUGGGAGUGGUGGCAUCCAUCUGUGACAGAUCAUAAGAGCAAUCACAUCAGAUUAAAACAGAUAUGGUGAACUAGUAAAUCACUAGCAUGUAACAAUAACAAGAGAAGUGUGUUUAGCAGCAUAUCUAUCAUACAAUGCAAGUUCCACAGAACAAGUAUAAUAGGCAAACAAACUAUUUAGUUUUUAAGUUACAACCUCCAUAACUAAGUAGAAGACAAUUUUACAGUUCAAUCAGAGGUAGCAAUAUAUAACAAAGUCGGUACCAAAUGAAGAUCCCACUUAGUGAAGUAAUGCUAAGAAAUCUCCUCUAGUGACCUACUCAUACUCAGUGAAGAAAUGCUAUGAAACAACCAGGAUUGACACUGGCAAUUCAGUACUACUUGUGAACAUGUGCAUUUUACUGAUUCUGAAGUAUAUAGCAAAAUAGUGGUAGUACUGUGAAUUAAGAUGUAACUAACCAAAUGAGCAACAUAUGUUAUAAUCACAAACCUAAAUAAAUGGCAGCCAGUUCACAUGGAGUUUCUGUACUACUUAACAUGGACAGUCAUCAAGUAAUUCUCAAUCAAAGUGGAUAGCAAAACAGUAAACACAUCAUAUGGCUACACAUAAGAACAAGCAUUGAAAGGUUAAUAGCAAGUAUACCUUGUUGCAGCAGCAGAUCAUCUGCUUCACUCCAAGAGUGAAAGCAAGGAGGGCGUGCUCACGGGUCUGGCCGUCCUUCGAGAUACCAGCCUCAAAACCACCAGUGGUGGAGUCGAUGAUGAGCACAGCACAGUCAGCCUGGGAGGUACCGGUGAUCAUGUUCUUGAUGAAGUCACGGUGACCAGGGGCAUCAAUGACGGUGCAGUAGUACUUGGUGGUCUCAAACUUCCACAGGGCAAUAUCAAUGGUGAUACCCCUCUCGCGCUCGGCCUUCAGCUUGUCAAGCACCCAGGCGUACUUGAAGGACCUCUUGUUCAUCUCAGCGGCUUCCUUCUCGAACCUCUCGAUCACACGCUUGUCGAUACCUCCAAGCUUGUAGAUCAGAUGGCCAGUGGUGGUCGACUUGCCAGAGUCGACAUGGCCAAUGACCACGAUGUUGAUGUGAGUCUUCUCCUUACCCAUGGCUGAAACUGCAAGACCAGAGUAAACAGGUGUCAGAACAGAAGAUGCAGAACAGAAGUUAGGAGCCAUCAUGCUUAGCAAAUGAAAUGGCCUUAAUAGGAAAAGGUGACACUCAAGCCAAUCAGACAGAAGGCAAGUUAGAUCCAAUAAACCUUGCAUUGAACAAAAACAUGCAUGGCAGAACAUAUGUACGGGAAAUCAUAUAUUCUACUCACGACUCACAGCAGAUCCUAGAACCAAACAUAAGUAGAACACAAAUCUGACGACGUCAUGAGCAACAUGUCCUCGCUAACAACAUAUACCAGAGAAAUCAUACAUAUCAAGGCUACAGCAUGAGCGCAUCAGUACAUAAAGAGAUUCUAAACUAGAUCCACAGGUAGAUUUACGGCUACAAAGCUAGCACGUGAAGAAAAUCCUUCAGACCACGGACGAGAACCACAUGCAUCAGCUCAAAAUAAACACCUGCGACCCGAUCUACCAACAGACUACGGCUACGAAACAGAAGCAAGCGUGCAUCCUUCAAACCACGGACGAGAACAACAUGCAUCAGCGCAUAAUAGAAUCUAAAACCCGAUCUACUGGCAGAGCACGGAUACGAAACAGAAGCAUGCUCGAAUCCUUCAAACUACGUACGAGAACAGCACGAAUCACCGCGGAAAGGAGCACGAAACAGACAAAAAGCCACAGAUCUGAAGCCAUCGGAGACCACAGACGACGCAUCGUAGCAGGGGAAGGGGGCGGAUCGGGAUGCUCACCUGGAAGGAAGGAGAAGGAGCCGAGAGGAGGAGGAGGAGGCGGCGGCGGCGGGCGAGGGGAAUGGUACGAAGGGGUUAGGGCGAGAGGGGUGGCUCUAUAUAUGGGCGGCGAGGGGCGCUAGGGUUUCUUCUUGGCCGUCUGAUCCGGGUCCGAGGGCCGCCGUCGGGGGAGAUCCGAUCCGUUGGAUCUCCAUCGCGCGGAGCGCCUGCUUCUAGACGUUUCGGGGGCCGCAAGUUUUCCGCGUCUAUCCAGUGGGCGGGUCCUACCGGGAAGUGGGUUUGGCUUGGCUUGGCUCCAGCUGUCUGUAUUUUCUGCGAUUAUCUCCAUCUCCGGACCAGUAAAAUAAUGCCCAUUUCUCACCCACUUCAGAUCGUGUCAUAGUGUGCUCAUAAUAAUUGGUUAAUUAUGCUUCUGGUUCUCUGGAGGACCUUUUAUUAAACUUAGAGCAUAUGGGCCGUCCAUCCGGAUGCGCCCGCGGACAGUGUAUGAAAAUUGCGUCUACACAACCCGGAUCCAUCAACCAAAUUCUCAAAUCCGUACUAGUCUCAUGCAACGUUAAACCAACUCACAUAAAUCUCAAAUAAGAAGUUAAAAAAAAAACAGCAACAGCUUCCAUAAAUUCGAAGAAAAAAAUACGGGAUUCCGUAAAAACACUUCCGCCUUUUCGUAACUAUAUGGGAAGAUAGUCCUUUCAAUAUAAUUUGGCGGGUAAAAGCAUCUCUAGUAGACCCCUUAACCCGUGAAACUCAAAACGUGGCUUUUAGUUCGCGAAAAACGCAUUUUAAGGAUCGGUUUGAGCUGCGGCGAGCAGACCUCUUAAACGUAGACUGUAAAACCAAAUAUUCGCGUAUAUUCUUCUCAAUGUCUUUUUCUUCCUCUCAUCCGUGUCCACGGUUAGCAAGCUCGCUCCUAUGAAACCGGCGGACGGCGCACGAAGCGACCAAAUAUGGAGCCGCUAGCGUUCAGGAUGGCUCGCACAAAGCGCCCAGCGUCGCCGUCGCUGCUCGAAUCGGUCCAGAAGCUAGCUAGCGCCGACUUGAAUCGAUUCAGGAGCUAGCUGCUAGCUAGCUAAGAGCAUCUCCAGCCGUUCAGCCCCUGAAAUAGCACCGUCUGGGGGUCAACCGACGAUAAAAUCGGCGUGGGGCGGUCGGUUUUCCAACCGCCGAUCCGAGCUGGCCCCAGACGCCGCUUUUUGAAAACCAAAGUCGGCCAAAAUUCGGCCAAACUUCAUACAAAACGACACAAAUUUGGAGAAAAUUCAGGCGUUCAUUGAUAUUUGUACAAACUAAAAACAUAAUUUAAAAACAAACUAAAAACUACUACUACGUCGUCGUCGCCUUGAGCCCUUCUACAUGCUGAAGCCAUUGGUCGCCGCUCCAUUGUUGGGGUAGCGCUCGGCCAUGGUGGAUGAGGGAGAGAGGGGAGAGGGGUGUCAGCGGUGAGAGGGCGAGAGGGGCGUCGGCGGUGAGAGAAGGAAAGGGGUUGUGGCGAGGGAGUGUGCGGCCACCGGCGAGGGAGGGGCGGCUUUUAUAGCAGCGAGUGGGCGGCGAGCAGGCAGCAGUCGUGUGUGCGCGUGGCGGGAGGGGGUGGGACGUGUGUCGACACGCCUUCACUGCGUCGCCCGUGAGGAAUCAAUGGAAAGCUGACCGGCGGCAAUCUUCGCAUUGAUUCCCGCGGGAAACCGAGGCGAUGAGGACGACGAAGGCGCCCAGUCGCUGACUCGGCUGGUCCACAUGAUUCACGCCAAAAUUGUUUCGCCCGGCGCCCCCAGUGCGUCGGGUUCGGUCUGGGUUCGCCGGCGCCAAAUUCGGCCCUAACCGGCGAAAAAUGGGCUUAUGGGGGCGCGACUGGGCCAUUUUUUCACGUCGGCGAUAAAAAGGGGGCUUGGGGGCCUGUUGGGGGCGAGUGGAGAUGCUCUAAUCGAUCGACCUAGGAGCUAGCUAGCUCCCGUCCGUGUAGCUGCCAAAUACGGAGCCGCCGGUGUCACGGGGCCGCCGCAUCCCGUUCCUCUCUCCCGCGUUGACGGGAUCAGCUAUGGCAGCAAGCACGCGCUCGAUCCUUCUACAAUGCAGAAUUUAGUUGGAGCUGGGAGAAAUCGACGGCUGGAGACGGGUGGUACGGCCGGCGCCACGGGAGGAGAGGGCAGCAGAAGGACCCAGUUCAUGGCUUGUAUAUUGUCCUCUCAGACCUGUAUAAGUAGGGGCGGAGGCUCGCGUUUUUGGUGGCCUGUAAAACGUUUAUGGUUCAUCGAACUUUUACAGGGUCUGUUUUGGACACAACAUUGGUCCAGGACCAUAAAUCCGCCGGAAUUUUAUAGGUUUGGCCUUUUUAAGGGAUCUGUUAGAGAUGCUCUAAAACCGCCUGAAAGUUCACGGCACACGCCCUGCAUUGUCGCCCUGCCCCACCCCUUCAACCAUUCAUGGUGUUGCUACCGCACCUCCCCUGUCGUGCCGCCUAACUGCUCUGGCAGCCGUCGCCACACCUUCCAGCGUUGUGUCACUGACUUGCCGGGCCCAACGAUGUUUAGUGGGAAAUAGGAAAUGUUAUUUUAGGAGAAAAGGUUGUACACGAACUGGGAAAAGUAGCUAUGUGACAACUUCCCCUAUAUUCUAUGGUCGUACCGUAAAACAACUUCUACAACAUGUUUGGCAAUCACUGGGGCGGGGGAAUGUGUGUUUGCAAGAGCGGGUUUGUUUAAGGAUUGGACAUGGGAAGUAGACUUUUACUCCCGUUCAUCCGUUUUUUAUAUGAUGGGAAUUAGCAUGAGUUGGAACUUUGCCCAUGGAUUAACAGGAUACCCCAUGUAAAGAAAUAUGUGAGAAUAGGCUCUCUCAACUCUCGUCCCUUUUCACUUAAACUAGCAUUCUCUCUAAGUAAGGACUUCUAAUCUUCUCACAUCUCAACUCCCAUUCCCCAUCUCUAAUUUCCUCGAACCAAACACAUUGCUAAGGGGAGAUUUACAUGUUGGAGUUGCAGUUAGCCCCGUGGCGUUAGGGUUUACCCAAAAAUUUGGAUUGAGUAACUUGGGUUAUCUAAAAUAUAGGUUUUCUAUAACAACACCCGGAAUAUCUCCCACGAAACUGAAACCCACAAAUUAAAAUACUUGAUAUUCUGAGUUCGGGUAGCCCCGAAUUACACGAUGUAUGCUUCAAUGAUCCUUCAAUGCUUGUUUUGGAAUCGUCAUUACAUCAACGAAUGUCUGCUUACUCUUAUCACUAGACAUGGACAACAAAUGGUGGAUGCACGUGAGCCAGGGAUGUAGAUGAUGAGCCGCAGAUAGCUCACUCGAGUCGUGGAUGUGGACGAUGGGUGACAGACGCUUCGAGCUAGCCAGCCAGGGACGAUAGCGUGGUGCCCGCCGAUACGUCCAUUUUGCAUCAUGUUUUCCUAUUGUUAUUUAUAAUGUUUUUUUAUCAAUAUAAUACUUUAUGGUACCAUUCUAAUGCAUUUUCUCUCUUAAUUUGCAAAAUUUAUAUGAAGAGGGUGAUUGCCGGUAGCUAGAAUUCUGGACCUGAAAAGGCUAUGUUAGAGAUACCUAUUCUGCACAUCUCCAAAUGAGCUAAAAUUUCAUGAAGAAUUAUUUUGGAAUAAAUAAAAAUUAUUUGUGAAAAGAAAUACCAGAGGGGGCAACCCAGGUGCUCAUGAGGCACCAGGGCGCGCCCUGGUGGCUUGUGGGGCCCCUGGCCAGCCUCCGGUGCCCAUCUUAUGGUAUAUAAGCCCAUUUGCCUUACAAAAAUAAAGAGAGGAUUUUUGGAAUGGAGCACCGCCAACUUGAGGCGGAACUUGGGCAGGAGCACUUUUGCUCUCCAGCGGAGCGAUUCUUCCGGGGAUACUUCCUUCUAGGAGGGGGAAAUCGAAGCCAUCAACAUCACCAACAACCCUCUCAUCAUGGGAGGACCAAUAUUCAUUAUACAUCUUCACCGGCACCAUCUCAUCUCAAACUCUAGUUCAUCUCUUGUAAUCAAUCUUUGCAUCAAAACCUCAAAUUGGUACCUAUGGGUUGCUAGUAGUGUUGCUUACAUCUUGUAGUUGAUGAUAAUUGGUUUAUUUGGUGGAAGAUCAAAUGUUCAAAUCCUUAAUGCUAUUCCAUACCCCUCUGAUCUUGAACAUGAAUAUGAUUUGUGAGUAGUUACUUUUGUUCUGGAGGACAUGGGAAAAGUCUUGUCAUAAGUAAUCAUGUGAAUUUGGUAUUCGUUCAAUAUUUUGAUGAUAUGUAUGUGACGCCCCCGAUUUGACCAUACACGCAAAUGUGUACGAUCAAUAUCAAGGACUCACGGGAAGAUAUCACAACACAACUCUAGACACAAAUUAAAAUAAUACAAGCUUUAUAUUACAAGCCAGGGGCCUCGAGGGCUCGAAUACAUAAGCUCCAAUACACAAGAGUCAGUGGAAGCAAUAAUAUCUGAGUACAGACAUAGGUUAAACAAGUUUGCCUUAAAAAGGCUAGCACAAAAGUAGUAACGAUCGAAAAGGCAAGGCCUCCUGCCUGGGACCACCUAGCUACUCCUCGAAGUCGAACUCCACGUAGAAUCAUCCUCGGGAUCCUCUGGCUCCUAGACUCCAUCAUACCGUGAGUACUCAUCCAAAGUACUCGCACGCAAGGAUCUACACUACAUAUGCAUUGGUAUCAAUGAAAUGGGUAGUAUGUGUGGACUGAACUACAGAAUGUCAGAAUAAGAGAGGGAUAGCUAGUCCUAUCGAAGACUACGCUUCUGACAGCCUCCAUCUUGAAGCAGUAGAAGAGAGUAGAUGGUAAGUUAACCAAGUAUCAUCGCAUAGCAUAAUCCUACCCGGUGAUCCUCCCCUUGCCCCCCUGUGAGAGAGCGAUCACCGGUUGUAUCUGGCACUUGGAAGGGUGUGUUUUAUUAAGUAUACGGUUCUAGUUGUCAUAAGGUCAAGGUACAACUCCGGGUCGUCCUUUUACCGAGGGACACGGCUAUUCGAAUAGAUAAACUUCCCUGCAGGGGUGCACCACAUUCCCAACACACUCGAUCCCCUUUGCCCGGACACACUUUUCUGGGUCAUGCCCGACCUUGGUAGAUCAACACAUCGCAGCCCUACCUAGGCACAACAGAGAGGUCAGCACGCCGGUCUAAAUCCUAUGGCGCAGGGGUCUGGGCCCAUCACCCAUUGCACACCUGCACGUUGCGUACGCGGCCGGCGAGCAACCUAGCCUCCCUUAUACAAGAGCAGGCGUUCCAGUCCAACCUGGUGCGCACCGCUCAGUCGAUGACGUCACGAAGGCUUCGGCUGAUAUCGCGACGUCGAGUGCCCACAACUGUUCCCGCGUAGUUGGUUAGUGUGUAUAGGCCAGUGGCCAGACUCAGAUCAAAUACCCAAAUCUCAUUAAGCGUGUUAAUUGAAUUAUCCACGGACGCCGACCAGGGCCAGGCCCACCUCUCUCUUAGGUGGUCUCAAUCUGCCCUGUCGCUCUGCCUCAAAGUAACAGUCGGGGGUCAUCGGGAACCCAGGCCCCCACUACUUGGGUGGAACCACUUGCCCCUUCAACCCCCAACAUCGGAAUCACUUGUAGGUACUCAACGAGCCGACCCGACUUUAGUCACAACAUGUAAUAUGUAUAAAGUAUAUAAUAUAUACCCAUGAUCACCUCUCGAGUGGUCACGGCCUGAUAGUAUAGCAUGGCAGACAGACAAGAAUGUAGGGCCACUAAUGAUGAACUAGCAUCCUAUACUAAGCAUUUAGGAUUGCAGGUAAGGUAUCAACAGCUGUAACAACAAUGACAUGCUAUGCAUCAGAAUAGGAUUAACAGAAAGCAGUAACAUGCUACACUACUCUAAUGCGAGUAGUAGAGAGAAGAGUAGGCGAUAUCUGGUGAUCAGGGGGGGCUUGCCUGGUUGCUCUGGCAACGAGGGGUCAUCUUCAAUGUAGUCGAACACACGAACAUCGGCAGUAGUCUCGGAGUCUACCAAAAAGAAGUAACGGAGGGGGAACACAAUAAAUAACAGAGCAAUCAAAUGUAACACAAAGCAAGACGCGACAAUACGUUGUGUUAGGGGUGACCUAACGCAGGGAUAGGUGAUACCGGCGAAGGGGGGAAACAUCCGGGAAAGUAUUCCCGGUGUUUCGUGUUUUCAGACAGAAGAACCGGAGGGGGAAAGUUGCGUGUUCACUAUGCUAGGGAUGUGUGGCGGACAAACGGGCUGCAUAUUUGGAUUCGUCUCGUCAUUCUGAGCAACUUUCAUGUACAAAGUUUUUUCAUCUGAACUACGGAUUAUUUUGUAUUAAUUUUUAAAGAUUUAAACCAUCUUUCGGAUUAACAGAAUUAAUUAAUUUAGAAAAUACAAUUACGAUGUCAGCAUGAUGUCAGCCUGACAUCAGUGGUCAACUCUGACCGUUGACCGGUCAAACUAGCAGAUGUGGCCCGUUUGUCAAUGACUGUUAACUAAUUAAUAGCAAUUAGACUAAUUUGUCGGUUAAUUAAAUGUGGGUAAUUAGUUUAACUAUAUGAUUAGGUUAAUUAAACCUCAUUAGUUAAGUUAAUUAAUUAGCUAAUUAUUUUCAUUUCUUUUUAAUCUUUUUUAUAUAAAACAGGGGCAUGGGCCCUGCGGUCAGUGACACAGGGGAUGCAACGGGGCGGGUUACUGGGCUGUGGGAGCGGAGCUAAACGGGGCUCCGCCCCGGGGCGCACGUGCGGGCGCUAGAGCGCGCGGCCCUGGGCAUGCAUGGCACCAGGGGUGGCUCGGGCUCUGGUGGUCGGGCGCGGCUGAAGGAGGAGGCGGGGCGAGGUGAAGGCGGCGAUGCGACCGGGAAAGGUGCGGCCGGCAGCGGGGCCGAGCGACGCGGCUGGUGCAGCCAGCCAUCGGCGACGGCGGCAGGGGGCAGACCCGGGCGACGCCGUGGGAGGGGGUGCAGUAGCGGGAUGGCGGGGGUGCGAGCGAUGAGCAGUGGCAGUUGGCAGCGGAGCAGCAAGCAGUAGAGGAUGGCUCAGCAGCAGCAGUAGCCAGGAGCUGGUGGAGGCCGACCAGCGGGCAGCGGCCAUGCGCGCGUGCGAGGCGAGGCCUGAGCGUGGCGAGCACGCACAGGGGAAGCGGGCGGGCGCGAUGCGGCGUCGCGGGGCAGCGACCGUGGGCGCCAGUGGCGACGGUGAUGCGAAGCAGGGCCCCGGGUGAUGGCCGGCGUGGUGGAAGGCAGCGUGCAGCAGCAAAAUAUAGCGGGCAGCAGGGACGCGAGGCCGCGGACAGUGGUGAGCGGGGGGCCGCGUGGGGGCACGGUCGGGGUCACGACGAGCGUGGCCCGGACGACCAGAGAGAGUGCGGGGCAGGAGCAGCCAGACCGCGGCGGGGGCGGACGAAAUCGCCGGCCCAGCAAGGUCCGGUGGCAGCAACAACAUGGCUAUGACGAAGGGAGCUACGGGGACGGAAUCGUUCGGGGAAAAGAGGGGGAGGGGAGAGGGGCUCACGGAGGCCCUGUAGUUGAGCACAAGCGGGCUCGGGGAGGAGUCGGGGAGGCGCCGGAAUCGUCAGGGAUCGCCGGUGGCCGUCGAGGAAGGAGACGGUUGGAUCCAGCGAUGUGGGGCUCUUCAGCUCGAGCUCGUGGACGUAGGCAACGUAGCGGAGCAUGGUGGACCUCGUGGGCACUGUGGCUGGGUGCGGGGAGCUCUGUGGCUACGCGGGCGGCAAGGCGACGAUGAUGGCAGUGGCCGCCAUGGCGGGGGAGGACGCAUCAGUGAGAUGAGGAAGGGGAAAAGAUCUAGCGAGGGUCCAGAGCAUGCGUGGCGCCGCUCUUAUCCACGCAAGGGCUACAGGGCGGUCGCUGUAGUGACGUGGCCGGCAAGACGAUCUGGCGGGGGCGAGCGGGGAGGAGUCGGUCGGUUGAACAGGGGGGAAAGGAGAGAGACGACCGAUGGGGGCAAGGGUGGGCUGGGCCGGCUGAGCCAAGGCCAGGGGGUGGGGGAACUAGGGGUUUCCUUUUAAUUUUAUUUUUCUAUUCUUUUUUUGUUUCCUUUUAUUUUAGUUUUUGAAGAAAAAACAAUACUAUCCCCAAAAUUAGUAUCAAUAAAUAUGCCACUGCCACAAAUAAUUUGGCACCCUAUUAAAUAGUUUGCAUUGGUUUAUUAUUUAAAAGUAAUUAAAUAAUUGUUUUAGUCCAUGCUUUAUUCAUUUAGGGGCAUUUAAAUAUUUUAUAAAAUAUGGGUUUCAACAUGAAAAAUAUCCAGGGAUUAAUUGAAACACUUUGGACAUUUUAGUUUGCAUGUUUGAGAAAUUUGAAUUUUGACUUUAAUUUGAAUUUGAAUUUAAAUCGGUUUGAAUCAACGAGGGAUUUAGCAACAGUGAAAGUGAUGACAUGGCAUCACCUUUCGAGGGUUACUGUAGCUUAACUAUCCGGGUGUUACAAUGUAUGUUGUUGCUUCCUUUAGUGGUGUCAUGUGAACAUAGACUACAUGACACUCCACCGCCUUUGGGCCUAAGGGAAGGCAUUGUGGAGUAGUAAUUAGAUGAUGGGUUGCUAGAGUGACAGAAUUUUAAACCCUAGUUUAUGCACCAUUCCGUAAGGGGCUGAUUUGGAUCCAUAUGUUUUAUGCUAUGGUUAGAUUUAUCUUAAUCUUCUUUCGUAGUUGCAGAUGCUUGCGAGAGGGGUUAAUCAUAAGUGGGAGGCUUGUUCAAGUAAGAACAUCGCCCAAGCACGAGUCCACCCACACAUCAAAUUAUCAAAGUAACGAAUGUGAACCAAACAAACAUGACGAAAGUGACUAGAUGAAAUUCCCGUGUGUCCUCAAGAACGCUUUGCUUAUUAUAAGAGACCGUUACGGCCUUUCCUUUACCGUAGAAAAGGAUUGGGCUACCUUGCUGAACUUUAGUUACUAAUGUUACUUGUUGCUUGUACAAAUUACCUUGCUAUCAAACUAAUUGUUACCGAUAAUUUCUGUGCUUGUAGAAAAUACCUUGGUGAAAACCGCUUGUCAUUUCCUUCUGCUCCUCGUUAGGUUCGACACUCUUACUUAUCGAAUGGACUAUGAUUGAUCCUCUAUACUUGUGGGUCAUCAAGACUCUUUUCUGGAGCCAUUGCUAGGGAGUGAAGCGCCUUUGGUGAGUGGAAUUUGGUAAGGAAACAUUUAUAUUAUGUGCUAAAAUUUACUGUCACUAGUUACUUUGGAAAACAAUCCUUUGAGGGGUUUGUUUGGGGUAUCUUCACCUCGUCUCGAAGCACAAAGAGUUGGUCCUCAACCUAUUGCACCUACUCAAAAUAUUUAUUAUGAGAUUCCUUCAGGUAUGAUAGAGAAACUGCUAGCUAAUCCUUAUGCAGGAGAUGGAACAAUACAUCCUCAUACGUCUCCAACAUAUCUAUAAUUUUUUAUUGUUCCAUGUUGUUAUAUUGUCAUUCUUGGAUGUUUUACAAUCAUUUUAUGGCAACUUUAUAUCAUUUUUGGGACUAAUCUACUGACAUAAUGCCCAGUGCUAGUUGUUGUUUCUUUACUUUGCAGAAUAUCAGUACCAAACGAAGUCCAAACGCAGCGAAACUUUUUUGAGAUUUUUUGGACCAGAAGACACCUUGGGGGCCAAGAAAGUACCAGAGAGGGUCCCUGUGGGGACCACAAGACACCUAGGCGCACCAGGAGGCCCAGGCGCGCCCAUGGGGGUUGUGGGCCCCACGGAGGUAUCCUGCACCACCUCUUCACCCUAUAAAUUAUGAAAUAUUCCAGAAACCCUAGGGGAGUCGACAAAACACAAUUCCAGCUGCCGCAAGUACUAGAACCACGAGAUCCAAUCUAACACCAUCACGGAGGGGUUCAUCAUCCUCAUUGGUGCCUCUCCAAUGAUGCGUGAGUAGUCCACCAUAGACCUAAGGGUCCAUAGGCAGUAGCUGGAUGGCUUCUUCUCUCUUUUUGAUUGUCAAUACAAUGGUCUCUUGGAAAUCUAUUUCAUGUAACUCUUUUUGUGGUGUGUUCAAUUUGUUGGGAUCUGAUGAACUUUGAGUUUAUGAUCAAAUCUAUAUCCAUGAAUAUUAUUUGAGUCUUCUUUGAUCUCUUAUAUGCAUGAUUAUUUAUAGCCUCAUAUUUCUUCUUCGAAUCUUUGGUUUAGUUAGGCUGACUAGAUCGAUAUUUUUGCCAUGGGAAGAGGUGCUUUGUGAUGGGUUCGAUCUUGCUGUGUCCUCUCCCAGUGACAGAAGGGGCAGCGAGGCACUGAUGUCGCUUGAACUACGUCAGUAUUUCCCCAAAGAGGAAGGGAUGAUGCAACACAACUACGAUAGGUAUUUCCCUCAGUUAUGAAACCAAGGUAUCAAUCUAGUAGGAGAACCAAGCAACACUAUGUAAAUGGUACAUGCAUACAAAGAACAAAUACUUGCAACCCGACACUUAUGAGGGGUUGCCAAUCCCUCUUACAGGUAACAGUGUAGGAAAUUGUCAAGUUGAUGGGACAAAAUUGGAUAGAUUGGAUAAAUAUAUCUCUAAUAAACGUGGAAUAAAAAAUGUAAAAGUGCAGCAACGUAUUUUUGGGUUAUUGGAAUAAUAGAUCUGAAAACAAGAGCAAAUAAAAAUGGAUCUCAAAGGCAAAUUGAUAAAGAAUAGACCCGGGGCCGUAGAUUUCACUAGUGGCUUCUCUCAAGAAAUAACACACGGUGGGUAAACGAAUUAUUGUUGGGCAAUUGAUAGAAGUUCAAAUAAUUAUGACGAUAUCCAAGCAAUGAUCAAUAUAUAGGCACCACGUCCAAGAUUAAUAGACCGACUCCUGCGUGCAUCUACUACUAUUACUCCACACAUCGACCACUAUCCAGCAUGCUGAAGGAAAUAUGCCCUAGAGGCAAUAAUAAAGUUGUUAUUUAUAUUUCAUUAUAUCAUGAUAAAUGUUUAUUAUUCACGCUAGAAUUGUAUUAACCGGAAACUUAGUACAUGUGUGAAUAUAUAGACAAAGAGAGUGUCACUAGUUUGCCUUUGCUUGACUAGCUCGUUGAAUCAAUGAUGGUUAUGUUUCCUAACCAUAGACAUGAGUUGUCAUUUGAUUAACGGGAUCACAUCAUUAGAGAAUGAUGUGAUUGACUUGACCCAUCCGUUAGCUUAGCACGAUGAUCGUUUAGUUUGUUGCUAUUGCUUUCUUCAUGACUUAUACAUGUUCCUAUGACUAUGAGAUUAUGCAACUCCCGAGUACUGGAGGAACACUUUGUGUGCUACCAAACGUCAUAACGUAACUAGGUGAUUAUAAAGGUGCUCUACAGGUGUCUCCGAUGGUGCUUGUUGAGUUGGCAUAGAUCGAGAUUAGGAUUUGUCACUCCGAUUGUCGGAGAGGUAUCUCUGGGCCCUCUCGGUAAUGCGCAUCACUAUAAGCCUUGCAUGCAUUGUGACUAAUGAGUUAGUUGCGGGAUGAUGUAUUACGGAACAAGUAAAGAGACUUGCCGGUAACGAGAUUGAACUAGGUAUGAGGAUACCGACGAUCGAAUCUCGGGCAAGUAACAUACCGAUGACAAAGGGAACAACGUAUGUUGUUAUGCGGUUUGACCGAUAAAGAUCUUCGUAGAAUAUGUAGGAACCAAUAUGAGCAUCCAGGUUCCGCUAUUGGUUAUUGACCGGAGACGAGUCUCGAUCAUGUCUACAUAGUUCUCGAACCCGUAGGGUCUGCACGCUUAAAGUUCGGUGGCGAUAGGUAUUAUGAGUUUAUGUGUUUUGAUGUACCGAAGGUAGUUCGGAGUCCUGGAUGUGAUCACGGACAUAAUGAGGAGUCUCGAAAUGGUCGAGACGUAAAGAUUGAUAUAUUGGACGGCUAUAUUCGGACACCGAAAGUGUUCCGGAUGGUUUUGGAGAAAACCGGAGUGCCGAAGGGGUUACGGGACCCCCCCGGGGAAGUAUUGGGCCUUAGUGGGCCUGAGGGGAGAGAGAGGGCUGCAGCCCAGGAGGUGGUGUGCCCCCUCCCAUGAGGAGUCCGAAUUGGACUAGGGGAGGGGGGCGCGGCCCCUCUUUCCCUCUCCCUUCCCCCUCUCUUUCCUUCCCCCUUCCCUCUUCCUAGUUGGACUAGGAAAGGAUGAAUCCUCUUCCUAGUAGGAAGAGGAUUCCUCCUCUCCNNNNNNNNNNNNNNNNNNNNNNNNNNNNNNNNNNNNNNNNNNNNNNNNNNNNNNNNNNNNNNNNNNNNNNNNNNNNNNNNNNNNNNNNNNNNNNNNNNNNNNNNNNNNNNNNNNNNNNNNNNNNNNNNNNNNNNNNNNNNNNNNNNNNNNNNNNNNNNNNNNNNNNNNNNNNNNNNNNNNNNNNNNNNNNNNNNNNNNNNNNNNNNNNNNNNNNNNNNNNNNNNNNNNNNNNNNNNNNNNNNNNNNNNNNNNNNNNNNNNNNNNNNNNNNNNNNNNNNNNNNNNNNNNNNNNNNNNNNNNNNNNNNNNNNNNNNNNNNNNNNNNNNNNNCAAGCCAUGUGCGGUGCCCCCUCCACCAUAAUCCACGUCGAUCAUAUCAUAGCAGUGCUUUGGCGAAGCCCUACGUUGGUAGCAACAUCAUCACCGUCAUCAUGCCGUCGCGUUGACGGAACUCUCCUGCAAAGCUUUGCUGGAUUGAAGUUCGUGGGACGUCAUCAAGCUGAACGUGUGCUGAACUCGGAGGUGCCGUGCGUUCGGUACUUGGAUCGGUUGGAUCAUGAAGACGUACGACUACAUCAACCGCGUUCUCAUAACGCUUCCGCUUACGGUCUAGGAGGGUACGUGGUCGAUACUCUCCCCUCUCAUUGCUAUGCAUCACCAUGAUCUUGCGUGUGCGUAGGAUUUUUUUUGAAAUUACUAUGUUCCCCAACAGUGGCAUCCGAGCGAGGUUUUUGCGUAGAUGUUAUAUGCACAAGUAGAACACAAAUGAGUUGUGGGCGUGGCUAUAUACAUAUUGCUUGUUGUCACUAGUUGAUUCUUGAUUCAGCGGUAUUGUUGGAUGAAGCGGCCCAGACCGACAUUACGCGUAUGCUUAAGCGAGGCUGGUUCUACCGACGUGCUUCACACACAGGUGGCUGGUGGGUGUCAGUUUCUCCAACUUUAGUUGAAUCGGAUUCAAUGAACAGAGUUCUUUCUGAAGAUCAAAAAGCAAUCACUAUACCGCGUUGUGGUUUUUGAUGCGUAGGUAAGAACAGUUCUUGCUCAGCUCGUAGCAGCCACGUAAAACUUGCAACAACAAAGUAGAGGAACUUGUUUUUGCAGGGCAUGUUGCGAUGUGAUAUGGUUAAGACAUGAUGCUAAAUUUUAUUGUAUGAGAUGAUCAUGUUUUUGUAACACCGUUAUCGGCAACUGGCAGGAGCCAUAUGGUUGUCGCUUUAUUGUAUGAAAUGCAAUCGCCAUGUAAUUGCUUUACUUUAUCACUAAGCGGUAGCGAUAGUCGUGGAGGCAAUAGUUGGCGUGAUGACAAUGAUGCUUCGAUGGAGAUCAAGGUGUCAAGCCGGUGACGGUGGUGAUCAUGACGGUGCUUUGGAGACGGAGAUCAUAGGCACAAGAUGAUGAUGGCCAUAUCAUAUCACUUAUAUUGAUUGCAUGUGAUGUUUAUCUUUUAUGCAUCUUAUUUUGCUUAGAUCGACGGUAGCAUUAUAAGAUGAUCUCUCACUAAAUUUCAAGGUAUAAGUGUUCUCCCUGAGUAUGCACCGUUGGGAAAGUUCAUCGUGCUGAGACACCACGUGAUGAUCGGGUGUGAUAAGCUCUACGUUCACAUACAACGGGUGCAAGCCAGUUUUGCACACGCAGAAUACUUGGGUUAAACUUGACGAGCCUAGCAUAUGAAGAUAUGGCCUCGGAACACUGAGACCGAAAGGUCGAGCGUGAAUCAUAUAGUAGAUAUGAUCAACAUAGUGAUGUUCAUCAUUGAAAACUACUCCAUCUCGCGUGGUGAUCGAAUAUGGUUUAGUUGAUAUGGAUCACGUGAUCACUUAGAUGAUUAGAGGGAUGUCUGUCUAAGUGGGAGUUCUUAAGUAAUAUGAUUAAUUGAGCUUUAAUUUAUCAUGAACUUAGUACGUGAUAGUAUUUUGCAUGUCUAUGUUGUUGUAGAUAGAUGGCCCGUGUUGUUGUUCCGUUGAAUUUUAAUGCGUUCCUUGAGAAAGCAAAGUUGAAAGAUGAUGGUAGCCAUUACACGAACUAGGUCCAUAACUUGAGGAUUAUCCUCAUUGCUGCUUAGAAGAAUUAUGUCCUGGAAGCACCGCUAGGUGCCAAACCCGCUACAGGAGCAACGCCAGAUGUUAUGAACGUCUGGCAGAGCAAAGCUGAUGACUACUCGAUAGUUCAGUGUGCCAUGCUUUACGGCUUAGAACCGGGACUUCAACGACGUUUUGAACGUCAUGGAGCAUAUGAGAUGUUCCAGGAGUUGAAGUUAAUAUUUCAAGCAAAUGCCAGGAUUGAGAGAUAUGAAGUCUCCAAUAAGUUCUACAGCUGCAAAUGGAGGAGAAUAGUUCUGUCAGUGAACAUAUACUCAGAAUGUCUGGGUACCACAACCACUUGACUCAACUAGGAGUCAAUCUUCCUGUUGAUAGUGUCAUUGACAGAGUUCUUCAAUCACUGCCACCAAGCUACAAGAGCUUCGUGAUGAACUAUAAUAUGCAAGGGAUGGAUAAGACGAUUCCCGAGCUCUUCGCAAUGCUAAAGGUUGCGGAGGUAGAAAUCAAGAAGGAGCAUCAAGUGUUGAUGGUCAACAAGACCACCAGUUUCAAGAAAAAAGGUAAAGGGAAGAAGGGGAACUUCAAGAAGAACGUCAAGCAAGUUGCUGCUCGAGUGAAGAAGCCCAAGUCUGGACCUAAGCCUGAGACUGAAUACUUUUACUGCAAAGAGACUGGUCACUGGAAGCAGAACUGCCCCAAGUAUUUGGCGGAUAAGAAGGAUGGCAAGGUGAACAAAGGUAUAUGUGAUAUACAUGUUAUUGAUGUGUACCUUACUAAUGCUCGCAGUAGCACCUGGGUAUUUGAUACUGGUUCUGUUGCUAAUAUUUGCAACUCGAAAUAGGGGCUACAGAUUAAGCGAAGAUUGGCUAAGGACGAGGUGAUGAUGCGCGUGGGAAAUGGUUCCAAAGUCGAUGUGAUCGCGGUCGGCACGCUAUCUCUACAUCUACCUUCGGGAUUAGUUUUAGACCUAAAUAAUUGUUAUUUGGUGCCAGCGUUGAGCAUGAACAUUAUAUCUGGAUCUUGUUUGAUGCGAGACGGUUAUUCAUUUAAAUCUGAGAAUAAUGGUUGUUCUAUUUAUAUGAGUAAUAUAUUUUAUGGUCAUGCACCCUUGAAGAGUGGUCUGUUUUUGAUGAAUCUCGAUAGUAGUGAUACACAUAUUCAUAAUAUUGAAGCUAAAAGAUGCAGAGUUGAUAAUGAUAGUGCAACUUAUUUGUGGCACUGCCAUUUAGGUCAUAUUGGUGUACUUUUGGACUUUUGGAAUCACUUGAUUAUAAAUCACUUGGUACUUGCGAACCAUGCCUCAUGGGCAAGACGACUAAAACGCCGUUCUCCGGAACUAUGGAGCGAGCAACAGAUUUGUUAGAAAUCAUACAUACUGAUGUAUGUGGUCUGAUGAAGAUUGAGGCUCGCGGCGAGUAUCGUUAUUUUCUCACCUUCACAGAUGAUUUGAGCAGAUAUGGGUAUAUCUACUUGAUGAAACAUAAGUCUGAAACAUUUGAAAAGUUCAAAAAAAUUCAGAGUGAAGUGGAAAAUCAUCGUAACAAGAAAAUAAAGUUUCUACGAUCUGAUCGUGGAGGAGAAUAUUUGAGUUACGAGUUUGGUCUUCAUUUGAAACAAUGCGGAAUAGUUUUGCAACUCACACCACCCGGAACACCAGCGUAAUGGUGUGUCUGAACGUAGUAAUCGUACUUUACUAGAUAUGGUGCAAUCUAUGAUGUCUCUUACUGAUUUACCGCUGUCGUUUUGGGGUUAUGCUUUAGAGACGGCUACAUUCACGUUAAAUAGGGCACCAUCUAAAUCCAUUGAGACGACGCCUUAUGAACUGUGGUUUGGCAAGAAAUCGAAGUUGCCGUUUCUUAAAGUUUGGGGCUGUGAUGCUUAUGUGAAAAACUUCAACCUGAUAAGCUCGAACCCAAAUCGGAGAAAUGUGUCUUCAUAGGAUACCCAAAGGAGACUGUUGGGUACACCUUCUAUCACAGAUCCAAAGGCAAGGCAUUCGUUGCUAAGAAUGGAUCCUUUCUAGAGAAGGAGUUUCUCUCGAAAGAAGUGAGUGGGAGGAAAGUAGAACUUGAUGAGGUAACUGUACCUGCUCCCUUAUUGGAAAGUAGUUCAUCACAGAAAUCUGUUCCUGUGACUCCUACACCAAUUAGUGAGGAAUCUAAUGAUGAAGAUCAUGUAACUUUAGAUCAAGUUACUACUGAACCUCGUAGGUCAACCAGAGUAAGAUCCGCACUAGAGUGGUACGGUAAUCCUGUUCUGGAAGUCAUGUUACUUGACCAUGACGAACUUAUGAACUAUGAGGAAGCGAUGAUGAGCCCAGAUUCCGCAAAAUGGCUUGAGGCCAUGAAAUCUGAGAUGGGAUCCAUGUAUGAGAACAAAGUGUGGACUUUGGUUGACUUGCCCGAUGAUCAGCAAGCCAUCGAGAAUAAAUGGAUCUUCAAGAAGAAGACUGACGCUGACGGUAAUGUUACUGUCUACAAAGCUCGACUUGUUGCAAAAGGUUUUCGACAAGUUCAAGGAGUUGACUAUGAUGAGACUUUCUCACCCAUAGCGAUGCUUAAGUCCGUCCGAAUCAUGUUAGCAAUUGCCGCAUUUUUUGAUUAUGAAAUUAGGCAAAUGGAUGUAAAGACUGCAUUCCUAAAUGGAUUUCUGGAAGAAGAGUUGUAUACGAUGCAACCUGAAGGUUUUAUCGAUCCAAAGGGUGCUAACAAAGUGUGCAAGCUCCAGCGAUCCAUCUAUGGACUGGUGCAAGCAUCUCAGAGUUGGAAUAAACGUUUUGAUAGUGUGAUCAAAGAAUAUGGUUUUAUACAGACUUUCGGAGAAGCCUGUAUUUACAAUAAAGUGAGUGGGAGCUCUGUAGCAUUUCUAAUAUUAUAUGUGGAUGGCAUAUUGUUGAUUGGAAAUGAUAUAGAAUUUCUGGAUAGCAUAAAGGGACACUUGAAUAAGAGUUUUUCAAUGGAAGACCUCGGUGAAGCUGCUUAUAUAUUGGGCAUCAAGAUCUAUAGAGAUAGAUCAAUACGCUUAAUUGGACUUUCACAAAGCACAUACUUUGAUAAAGUUUUGAAGAAGUUCAAAAUGGAUCAAGCAAAGAAAGGGUUCGUGCCUGUAUUACAAGGUGUGAAGUUGAGUUAGACUCAAUGCCCGACCACUGCAGAAGAUAGAGAGAAAAUGAAAAAUGUUUCCUAUGCUUCAGCCAUAGGCUCUACCAUGUAUGCAAUGUUGUGUACCAGACCUGAUGUGUGCCUUGCUAUUAGCUUAGCAGGGAGGUAACAAAGUAAUCCAGGAGUGGAUCACUGGAUAGCGGUCAAGAACAUCCUGAAGUACCUGAAAAGGACUAAGGAUAUGUUUCUCAUUUAUGGAGGUGACAAAGAGCUCGUCGUAAAUGGUUACGUCGAUGCAAGCUUUGACACUAAUCCAGAUGACUCUAAGUCACAAACCAGAUACGUGUUUUUAUUGAACGGUGGAGCUGUCAGUUGGUGCAGUUCUAAGCAAAGCGUCGUGGCGGGAUCUACGUGUGAAGUGGAGUACAUAGCUGCUUCGGAAGCAGCAAAAUGAAGGAGUCUGGAUGAAGGAGUCUGGAUGAAGGAGUUCAUAUCCGAUCUAGGUGUCAUACCUAGUGCAUCGGGUCCAAUAAAAAUCUUUUGUGACAAUACUAGUGCAAUUGCCUUGGCAAAAGAAUCCAGAUUUCACAAAAGAACCAAACACAUCAAGAGACGCUUCAAUUCCAUCCGCGAUAAAGUCAAGGAGGGAGACAUGGAGAUUUGCAAGAUACAUACGGAUCUGAAUGUUGCAGACCCGUUGACUAAGCCUCUCUCACGAGCAAAACAUGAUCAGCACCAAGACUCCAUGGGUGUUAGAAUCAUUACUGUGUAAUCUAGGUUAUUGACUCUAGUGCAAGUGGGAGACUGAAGGAAAUAUGCCCUAGAGGCAAUAAUAAAGUUGUUAUUUAUAUUUCCUUAUAUCAUGAUAAAUGUUUAUUAUUCAUGGUAGAAUUGUAUUAACCGGAAACUUAGUACAUGUGUGCAUAUAUAGACAAACAGAGUGUCACUAGUUUGCCUCUACUUGACUAGCUCAUUGAAUCAAUGAUGGUUAUGUUUCCUAACCAUAGACAUGAGUUGUCAUUUGAUUAACGGGAUCACAUCAUUAGAGAAUUGUGUGAUUGACUUGACCCAUCCGUUAGCUUAGCAGAAUGAUCGUUUAGUUUGUUGCUAUUGCUUUCUUCAUGACUUAUACAUGUUCCUAUGACUAUGAGAUUAUGCAACUCUCGAGUACCGGAGGAACACUUUGUGUGCUACCAAACGUCACAACAUAAUUGGGUGAUUAUAAAGGUGCUCUACAGGUGUCUCCAAUGGUGCUUGUUGAGUUGGCAUAGAUCGAGAUUAGGAUUUGUCACUUCGAUUGUUGGAGAGGUAUCUCUGGGCCCUCUCGGUAAUGCACAUCACUAUAAGCCUUGCAAGCAUUGUGACUAAUGAGUUAGUUGCGGGAUGAUGUAUUAUGGAACGAGUGAAGAGACUUGCCGGUAAUGAGAUUGAACUAGGUAUGAGGAUACCGAUGACAAAGGGAACAACAUAUGUUGUUAUGCGGUUUGACUGAUAAAGAUCUUCGUAGAAUAUGUAGGAACCAAUAUGAGCAUCCAGGUUCCGCUAUUGGUUAUUGACCAAUGAGGAUGAUGAACCCCUCUAUUAUGGUGUUAGAUUAGAUCUCAUGGUUCUUGUACUUGUGGCGGGUGGAAUUGUGUUUCGUCAACUCCCCUAGAGUUUUUGGAAUAUCUGGGUGUUUAUAGGGCGAAGAGGCGGUGUUGGGGGCCUCCGUGGGGGGCACAACCCCCCUGGGCGCGCCUGGGCUCGUAGGGGCGCCCUAGUGGGUUGUGCUCCCCAUGGGCCUCCCCUCUAGUACUUCUUUAGCCCACCCGGUGUCUUCUGGUCCAGAAAAAAUCUCCAAAAAGUUUCACUGCGUUUGGACUCUGUUUGGUACUGAUAUUUUGCAAAGUAAAAAAAGCAAAAAACAACAACUCGCACUGGGCACUAUGUCAGUAGGUUAGUCCCAAAAAAUGAUAUACAGUUGCUAUAAAAUGAUUGUAACACAUCCAAGAAUGAUAAUAUAAUAGCAUGGAACAAUAAAAAAUUAUAGAUAUGUUGGAGACGUAUCAACAUCCCCUAGCUUAAUUCCAUCUCGUCCUCGAGUAGGUAAAUGAUAAAAAUAGAAUUUUUGAUGUGGAAUGCCGCCUAACAUGUUCAUCACAUAUUCUUUUAUUUUGUAGCAUGGACAUUUUGACUUCUAUAUGGUUCAAAGCAAUAGUCUAGUUUUGACAUGAAGAAUUCAAUACUCAAGCAUAUCAACAAGCAACCAUGUCUUUCAAAAUAUCAACACUAAAGAAAGUUAUCCUUAGCCCAUCAUGCUCAAUCAUUGAUCCAUUCAUGAAACACACUCACAUAUUAGCUACAUCCAAUGCUCAAGUAUGAUCAUAGUGCUCCCUAAUUGGUGAUUUAUAAGAGAAGAUGGAGACUCAAAUAAAAAUAAAAAUUGCAUAAAGUAAAUAGAUAGGCCCUUCGCAGAGGGAAGUAGGUAUUUGUAGAGGUGCCAGAGCUCAAAACUCGAAUUGAGAGACCAUUUUGAGGCAUACUUUUCCCGUCAACGAGAACGACCAAGCAAUUGCCAACACUUUCCAGGCUAGAUAUAUCAUAGGUGGUUCCCAAAUAGAAAAUAAAGUUUAUUCCUUUUUCCACCAUUCUUUCACAAUCCACGACUAGCCGUAUCCACAGGUGCCUUCCAUACCAACACUUUCCAAGGAAUUUAUUAUUUGAUUUGACAACAUAAAGUAAAUUUCUUUUUCAUUUCGGGACUGGGCACCCCUAUUACCACCAUACUCUCAUGCAAUGACAAGUGAAUAAACACUCAUCUUGAGAAUAACACAUCUAGCAUGGAAAAUAUUGGCCACCCCUCGCCGCUUCAUGAGCCGUACGGGCACACAAAAAGGAAAUUCAUUUCGAAAAUUAGAGAUGGCACAUACAAAUUUGCUUAGAACAACACCGAAAUACCACAUAUAGGUAGGUACAGUGGACUCAUAUGGCAAAAUUGGGUUUAAAGAUUUUGGAUGCACAAGUAGUAUUUCUACUUAGUACAAGUGGAGGCUAGCAAAUAGAUUGAGAAGCAACCAACCAAGAAACAAAAAAUCACAUAAGCGAGCAUUAAGCAUAAGUAACACUGAAUAAUGCACCAUAAGUAGGUUGUAAUUUCAUUGCAUAACUAGUGACUUUCGUGCUUGCAUAUGGAAUCACAAACCUUAACACCAAUAUUCUUACUAAAGCAUAAUUACUCACCAACAUGACUCACAUAUCACUAUCAUCAUAUAUCAAAACUAUUACCAAGAAUCAAGUUUAUUUUGUCCAAUGAUCUUCAUGAAAGUUUUUAUUAUAUACCUCUUGAAUAUCUAUCACUUUGGGACUAGUUUCAUAUGUCCCUUUUGAUAAGCUCAAACAAAUUUAAGUGAAGCACACGAGCAUAAAAAAUUUCUUCUCACAAAAUAAUAUAAGUGAAGCAUGAGAGAGUUUCUUCAAAAAAUUACUAACUCUCAAAUAAAUCUAAGUGAAGCAUGAGAGCAUUUCUUCAAAAGCAUUAAAGCACACCGUGCUUAAAAAGAUAUAAGUGAAGCACUAGAGCAAUUCCAUAUCUCAAAAAAAUUAAGUGAAGCAUAAAGAGCAAUUCUAACAAAUCAUAGCAUAAUUUUGGCUCUCUCAAAUAGGUCUAUCCAGCAAGUAUACUUGUGAAAAACUAAAAAGAAAAACAAGCAAAGACUCAUAUAAUACAAUACGCUUCAAGCAAUACUCAUGAUAUGUGACGAAUAAAAAUAUAGCUCCAAGUAAAAUACCGAUGGUCGUUAGAAUAAAGUGGGGAUGCCUUCCGGGGCAUCCUCAAGCUUAGUUGCUUGGUUAUCCUUGAAUAAUAACUUGGGGUGCCAUGGGGCAUCCCAAGCUUAGGCUCUUUUGACUCCUUAUUCCUUCAUCCAUCGUGAUCUCACCCAAAACUUGAAACUUCAAUCACACAAAACUUAACAAAACCUUCAUGAGAUCCAUUAGUAUAACAAAGCAAAUCACCACUCUAAGUAUGUUGCAAACCCAUUCAUAUUUUAUUUUUGCAUUGUACCUACUGUAUUCUAACUUUACCAUGGCUUAUACCCCCCGAUACAAUCCAGGGAUUCAUCAAAAUAAGCACACAACGCAAAGAAAACAAGAUCUAUCAAAAACAGAACAGUCUGUAGUAAUCUGGAAACUUCGUAUACUUCUGUAACUCCUAAAAUCUGAAAAAAUAGGACAACAUAGGUUUUGUAUAUGUAUCUUGUGUACAAAAAUUCAGAAUUUUAUCUCACUUCUGCGAUUUUAAACAAUUCUGUUACUAGACGCAAAAGUUUCUAUUUUUCAACAAGAUCAAAUCAACUAUCACCAAACAUGAUCCCAAAGGCUUUACUUGGCACAAACACUAAUUAAAAUAUAAAAAACACAAUCAUAACAGUAUCAUAAUUGUGCAAACACUCAAGAACAGAUAGAAACAUAUAAAAAUAUUUUAUUCAUUGGGUUGCCUCACAACAAGCUCUUUCUUUAUAGUCAUUAAGAUAGGCUUGAGAUUUCAAUGAUGCUCACAUGAAAGAUAGAAACUGAAACAUGAAGAGAGCAUCAUGUAGCAUGUGAGAAACACAUUUAUUUCGAACAUACUUCCUAUGCAUAGGAAUUUUAUAAGCAAACAAAUUAUUAAGACAAGAAACAUCUAGCAUAUGCAAAGAGAGGAAUAAAAUAUUGAUAAUCUCAACAUGAAGAGAGGUAAUUUAGUAACAUGAAUUUUUUUACAACCAUAUUUCCCCCUCUCAUAAUAAUUACAUGUGGGGUCAUAUUCAAAUUAAACCAUAUAACUAUCACAUAAAAUAUUCUCUACAUGAUCCACAUGCAUGCAAAGUUGACACUCUUCCUAAAUAGUGGGAUUAUCAUCAAAUAAAGGCAUGACCUCUCCAAGCCCACUUUGAUAAUUAUCACAAUAAGAUUCAACACCCUCCAAAAUAGUGGGAUCAUUAUUACAUAAAGUUGACACUCUUCCAAACCCACUUUCAAUACUAUCGCAAGCAUAUUCAUCAUGAGGUUUAAAUAAAAUUUCAAGAUCAUAAGAAUCAUUAUCACCCCAAUCAUAAUCAUUGCAAUAAGUAGUGGACAUAACAAAACAAGCAUCCGUAAGCUUGGGGGUUUGCAUAUCACUAACACAAUUGACAUAAUAGAAUUUAUAAUAAUAUCAUUUAAAUCAUGCUUUUCAUUCAAGGAGCUAUCGUGAAUCACCUUAUAAAUUUCUUCUUUUAACACUUCAUCACAAUUUUUAGAUUCACGAAUUUCAAGCAAAACUUCAUAAAGAUAAUCUAGUGCACUCGACUCACUAGCAAUUGGUUCGUCAUAAUUGGAUCUUUUGAAAAGAUUAGAAAGUGGAUGACGAUCCAUAUCAAUAGAUUUUUAGCAAGCGAAGAUGCAAGCAAAUAGAAGACACAUGGCAACACAAGCAAACGAAAGAUCGAACGAGAAAAAGGCAAACGAAAAAGAAGGCGAAUAAAAAGGCAAAAUUUUGUGAAGUCGGGGAGAUGAAAACGAGAGGCAAAUGGGAAAUAAUGUAAAUUGCAAGGAGAUGAGAUUUGUGAUUAGGAACCUGAUAGAUGUUGAUAAUGUCUCCCCGGCAACGAUGCAAGAAAUUCCUUUUGAUGUCACUUGAAACUGCGUCGGUAUUUCCCCAAAGAGGAAGAGAUGAUGCAGUACAACUGCGGUAGGUAUUUCCCUCAGUUGUGAAACCAAGGUAUUAAUCCAGUAGGAGAACCAAGCAACACUAUGUAAACGGUACCUGCACACAAAGAACAAAUACUUGCAACCCGACGCAUAAGAGGGGCUGUCAAUCCCUCCUCGGGCAAAAGAUAGAUUGUUUUGUAUGAUUUUGGAUAAAUAGAUCUCGCAAUAACACAAAAGAAAAUAAAUAAUAAAAAAGUGCAGCAAGGUAUUUUUGGGUUCUGGAAUAAUAUAUCUGAAAACAAAAGCGAAUAAAAAUAGAUCUCAAAGCAAAUAUGAUAAAGAACAGACCUGGGGGGCGUAGAUUUCACUAGUGGCUUCUCUCAAGAAAUAGCACACGGUGGGUAAACAAAUUACUGUUGGGAAAUUGAUAAAAGAUCGAAUAAUUAUGACGAUAUCCAAGGCAAUGAUCAAUAUAUACGCAUCACAUCCUAUAUGUGUAGACCGACUCCUACCUGCAUCUACUACUAUUACUCCACACGCCGACCGCUAUCCAGCAUGCAUCUAGUGUAUUAAGUUCAUGGAGAAACAGAGUAAUGCAAUAAGAACGAUGACAUGAUGUAGACGAGAUCUAUUCAUGUAGAAAUAGCCCCCAUCUUGUUAUCCUUAAUAUCAAUGAUACAUGUGUGUCUUGUUGCCCCUUCUGUCACUUGGAAAGAACACCGCAAGAUCGAACCCAUCACAAAACACCUCUUCCCAUGGCAAGAAAAUUGAUCUAGUUGGCCUAACUAACCAGAGAUCCGAAAUAGAAAUACGAGGCUAUAAAUAAUCAUGCAUAUAAGAUAUCAAAGAAGACUCAAAUAAUAUUCAUGGAUAUAUAUCUGAUCAUAAACUCAAAGUUCAUCAGAUCCCAACAAACACACCGCAAAAAGAGUUACAUCAGAUAGAUCUCCAAGAGACCAUUGUAUUCAGAAUCAAGAGAGAGAGAGAGAGAGGAAGCCAUCUAGCUACUGCCUACGGACCCUUAGGUCUAUGGUGGACUACUCACACAUCAUCGGAGAGGCACCAAUGAGGAUGAUGAACCCCUCCGUGAUGGUGUUAGACUGGAUCUCGUGGAUCUAGAACUUACAGCGGCUGGAAUUGUGUUUCGUCAACUCCCCUAGGGUUUCCGGAAUAUUUGGGUAUUUAUAGGGCGAAGAGGCAAUGCAGGGGGGCUCCGUGGGGGCAUAACCCCCUGGGCGCGCCUGGGCUCCUGGGCGCGUGAUACGUCUCCAACGUAUCUAUAAUUUUUGAUUGUUUCAUGUUGUUAUAUUAUCAUUCUUGGAUGUUUUACAAUCAUUUUAUAGCAACUUUAUAUCAUUUUUGGGACUAACCUAUUGACUUAGUGCCUAGUGCCAGUUGCUGUUUUUUACUUCAUGGAAAAUCAAUACCAGACGGAGUCCAAACGCAACGAAACUUUUUGGGGAAUUUUUUGGACCAGAAGAUACAAGAUGGGCAGAAGAAGUACCAGAGGGGUGCCCCAAGGGGGGCACAACCCACCUGGGCGCGCCUGCCCACCUCAGUGGCCUCCCACACCGCCUCUUUGCUCUAUAAAUACCCCGAAAAUCCAAAAACCCUAGGGGAGUCGACGAAACACAAUUCCAGCCGCAACAAGUUCCAGAAACCACAGAUCCAAUCUAGACACCAUCACAGAGGGGUUCAUCAUCCUCAUUGGUGCCUCUCCGAUGAUGCAUGAGUAGUUCAUUGUAGACCUACGAGUCCAUAGUUAGUAGCUAGAUGGCCUCCCCCUCUCUCUCUUGAUUGUCAAUACAAUGGUCUCUUGGAGAUCUAUUUGAUGUAAUUCUUUUGCGGUGUGUUUGUUGGGAUCCGAUGAACUUUGAGUUUAUGAUCAUAUCUAUUUUAUCCAUGAAAGUUAUUUGAGUUUUGAUCUCUUAUAUGUAUGAUUGCUUAUAGCCUCGUAUUUCUUCUUCUAAUCUUUGGUUUAGUUAGGCCGACUAGAUCGAUUUUUCUUACCAUGGGAAGAGGUGCUUUGUGAUGGGUUCGAUCUUACGAUGCUCAAUCCCAGUGACACAAGGGGAAAUGACAUGUAUGUAUCGUUGCUAUUAAGGAUAACAAGAUGGGGUCUAUUCCUACAUGAAUAGAUCUUAUCUACAUCAUGUCAUCAUUCUUAUUGCAUUACUCCUUUUCUCCAUGAACUUAAUACACUAGAUGCAUGCUGGAUAGCGGCCGAUGUGUGGAGUAAUAGUAGUAGAUGCAGGCAAGAGUCGUUCUACUAAUCUUGGACGUUAUGCCUAUAUAAUGAUCAUUGCCUGGAUAUCAUCAUAAUUAUUUGAGGUUAUAUCAAUUGCCCAACAAUAAUUUGUUUACCUACCAUAUGCUAUUUUAUCGAGAGAAGCCACUAGUGAAAUCUACGGCCCCCGGGUCUCUUCUUUAUCACAUUUGCCUUCAAUAUCUAUUUUUACUCGCUUUUAUUUUCAGAUCUAUUAAUCCAAAACCCAAAAAUACCAUGUUGCAAUUUUUUGUUAUUUAUUUUAUCUCACGUUCCCGUGAGAUCUAUUUAUCCAAUGUACUACAAUUUAUCUAUCUUUUUACCCUGGAGUGAUUGACAACCCCUCUUUUACGUCGGCUUGCAAGUAUUUGUUCUUUGUGUGCAGGUACCGUUUACAUAGUAUUGCGUGGUUCUCCUACUGGUUCGAUAACCUUGGUCUCAUCACUGAGGGAAAUACCUACCGUAGUUGUGCCGCAUCAUCCCUUCCUCUUUGGGGAAAUACCGACGUGUUUUAAGCCCCAUCAAAAGGAAUUUCUGGCGCCGUUGUCGGGGAGGAUCAAGUCAAGAUAGUCUCUCAUCAACGUGCCAAUUUCUAGCACCGUUGCCGGGGAGACAUCAUCAACAUCUAUCAGGUUCCUAAUCACAAAUCUCAUCUCCUUGCAAUUUACAUUAUUUGCCAUUUGCCUCUCAUUUUAAUCUCCCCCACUUCACAAAAAUUUUCUGUUUUAUUCGCCAUCCUUUUUCGUUCGUGUUUCUCGUUGGAAUUUUUGUUUGCUAAGAUUCGUCACCGUGAGUGACUUUGGUAUGGCAGAAACAGAUGAUGGCCUAACUCCUAUUGGACGAUCGGGCAAUCUGGAUGCUAACUUUUGUUUUGGGGCAAGGGAAUGUUAUAGGAAAAGAACGUAUCCAAGAAGUUUUCAAUUGUGUUGGAAAUUUAAGUCUUGAUGAUGUUCCUAUACUUAAAAGGACUAAAUCUUAUGCGGAAGCCAUUUCACCACUAGUUCUGAAACUUGAAAAUAAAUUUAUCCGUACCCAUCCUACCUUGCAAAGAUUGUUUUUUGAGUUGCCCAUUAUAAAGAAUCCCAAAGCUAAAAAGUUGGCCACCCUUGUUCUUAUGAAUGAAUUUGAUUACAUAAUACGAGAAGCUAGGGAAAUUUUUGAUUUCUAUGGUAUGAAUCAUGAAAAACCGGUGAUAGAUGAGAUUCUUUAUAAUAGUGAUUAUGUGCUAAGACAUUUGCUUGGGGAUAAUCGAAUCUUUGAUGAGAAUCUUAAAAAGGAAGUCCCUGUUUUAGACAUAAUCCAACAAGUUUUCAAUGAUGUUAAUCAACACUAUUCUUGGAUUGUUGCCGGAAAUCAAAGGGGAUAUGAUGAUAAGCAACUUGAUAGUGCUAAAGUCUCUAUGGAUAAGGUGUUUUAUGUUUUUUUUGCAAAACCUCCUGACAAAAACACCUCUAAGGAAAAUGGAAAUAAAGAUGACAAUAGUUAGAUCUAUGCAUUAUGCCUACACUACAAAAAAAAGACACAUCCGUGACAUUUUGGGUCGAACGAAAUUUUUUUCUGUCAUGCAUAUGACACUUCUAUGACGAUAAUUGUGACAAAACCCGGUAUCAUCAUAGAUGUGGUGGGCUCCUACUUCUAUGACAAAAAAUCAUGACAGAAAAUGGACUUUUCGUCCUGGGCGGGCCGGAGACGCAGCUGCAUGGCAUUCUUUGGGCCGUCCAUGACGGAAAAAACCGUGGUAGAAGCGAGGGGGAGGAAAAUUUCGGGGAGUUCCCGGUUACGGUGGGAAGUCGGGGGCCGAGCGAUGCGCGUUUCUCUCGUACACGUACGCGCGUGUGUGCGAGGUGUUGGCUCUAACUGAACCCGAGCGAGGCGUUGGGCUCUAACUGAACCCGAGCGAUUGCACUGCAGGCUACGCGUACUGAACCCAAGCGAUCGAUCGAUGGAUGUUAACUGAACCCGAUCGAGCGAUUCCUUCGCUACUGCUGCUAACUGAAGCCGAUCGAUGCUGCCUCUGGGAUGAACAGUGAGCGUUGCAGGGGGGUUUGGAUGAACAGUGAGCGGUGGCGUUGCCUCUGGAUGAACAAGACCCCGUGGUGUGGUGGAGGGCUGGAUGAACAGUAGACGGUGGAGGGGUGCCCGUGGAGGGGUGGUUGAACAGGACCCCAUGGUGUGGAGAGCUGGAUGAACAGUAGACGGUGGAGGUGUAACGCCCUCGAUGCGGCUAUAUCUCCCACGUGUCGAAGCAUUACUUAGAGGCAUAACCGCAUUGAAAGCAAUGUCGCAAGUGAGGUAAUCUUCACACAACCCAUGUAAUACAUAAGAGAAAGGAUACAUAGUUGGCUUACAAUUGCCACUUCACACAAGUACAUGAAUAAAGCAUUACAUCAUCCAAAUACAGUCAAGGUCCGACUACGGAACCAAAAUAAAAGAAGAACCCCAAAUGCGACACGGUCCCCGAUCGACCCCAACUGGGCUCCACUACUAAUCAACUAGAACGAAACAACACCAAGGACAAGAUCUUCAUCGAGCUCCUCCUUGAGCUUGGUUGUGACAUCUGCACGGUUCAACGGCACCUGCAAGCUGGUUUGGAAGUAAUCUGUGAGCCACAGGGACUCAGCAAUCUCGCACCCUCGCGAUCAAGACUAUUUAAGCUUAUGGGUAAGGUAAAAGGUAUGAGGUGGAGCUGCAGCAAGCGACUAGCAUAUAUGGUGGCUAACAUACGCAAAUGAGAGCAAGAAGAGAAGGCAAGGCACGGUCGAUAAAAACUAUGAUCAAUAAGUGAUCCUAGAACAACCUACGUCAAGCAUAACUCCAACACCGUGUUCACUUCCCGGACUCCGCCGGAAAGAGACUAUCAUGGUUACACACGCGGUGGAUGUAUUUUAAUUAAGGUCAACUUCAGGUUUUCUACAACCGGACAUUAACAAAUUCCCAUCUGCCCAUAACCGCGGGCACGGCUUUCAAAAGUUCAUAACCCUGCAGGGGUGUCCCAACUUAGCCCAUCACAAGCUCUCACGGUCAACGAAGGAUAUUCCUUCUAGCGGGAAGACCCGAUCAGACUCGGAAUCCCGGUUAUAAGACAUUUCGACAAUGGUAAAACAAGACCAGCAAAGCCACCCAGAUGUGCCGACAAAUCCCGAUAGGAGCUGCACAUAUCUCGUUCUCAGGGCACACCGGAUGAGCAAGACAUCGGGUAAGCCAGCCCAGAGUUUCCCCUGGUAGCCUCGGACAUCGCUCAGUUGGACCAACACUCAGAGGAGCACUGGCCCGGGGGGGGGGGGGUUAAAAUUGAAGGGUAACGUAGCAUAAAUUCAAAAUUUUCCUACGUGUCACCAAGAUCUAUCUAUGGAGAGACUAGCAACGAGGGGAAGGAGAGUGCAUCUACAUACCCUUGUAGAUUGCUAAGCGGAAGCGUUCAAGUGAAUGGGGUUGAUGGAGUCGUACUCGCCGUGAUUCAAAUCACCGAUGAUCAAGUGCCGAACGCACGGCACCUCCGCGUUCAACACGCGUACAGCCCGGUGACGUCUCCCAAGCCUUGAUCCAGCAAGGAGAGAGGGAGAGGUUGAGGAAGACUCCAUCCAGCAGCAGCACAACGGCGUGGUGGUGAUGGAGGAGUGUGGCAAUCCUGCAGGGCUUCGCCAAGCACCACAGAAGAGGAGGGAGAGAGAGAUGCAGGGCUGCACCAACGAGAGAUCGAAUCGCGUGUGUUAUGGGCAGCCCAAUGCCUCAAUAUAUAUAGGGAAGGGGAGGGGCUGCGCCCCCUCUAGGGUUCCCACCCCUAGGGGGGCGGCAACCCUAGAUGACAAAGGGGGUGGCGGCCAAGAGGGGAGAGGGAAGGGAGGCGCAGCUAGAUGGGCCCUAAGGCCCAUCCCCUUUAGGGUUUGCCCCCUUCCCACCUCUUAGGCGCCAUGCGCCCUUGUGGGAGGUGCACCAGCCCACUAAGGGGCUGGUCCCUCACCACUCUUGGCCCAUGCAAGCCUCCGGGGUUGGUGGCCCCACUUGGUGGACCACCGGGACCCUCCCGGUGGUCCCGGUACGUUACCGAUAAACCCCGAAACUCUUCCGGUGACCAAAACAGGACUUCCCAUAUAUAAAUCUUUACCUCCGGACCAUUCCGGAACUCCUCGUGACGUCCGGGAUCUCAUCCGGGACUCCGAAAAACAUUCGGUAACCACAUACAAACUUCCUUUACAACCCUAGCGUCAUCGAACCUUAAGUGUGUAGACCGUACGGGUUCGGGAGACAUGCAGACAUGACCGAGACGUUCUCCGGUCAAUAACCAACAGCGGGAUCUGGAUACCCAUGUUGGCUCCCACAUGUUCCACGAUGAUCUCAUCGGAUGAACCACGAUGUCAAGGACUUAAUCAAUCCCGUAUACAAUUCCCUUUGUCUAUCGGUAUGAUACUUGCCCGAGAUUCGAUCGUCGGUAUCCCGAUACCUUGUUCAAUCUCGUUACCGGCAAGUCUCUUUUACUCGUUCCGUAACACAUCAUCCCGUGAUCAACUCCUUGAUCACAUUGUGCACAUUAUGAUGAUUUCCUACCGAGUGGGCCCAGAGAUACCUCUCCGUUUACACGGAGUGACAAAUCCCGGUCUCGAUUCGUGCCAACCCAACAGACACUUUCGGAGAUACCUGUAGUGCACCUUUAUAGUCACCCAGUUACGUUGUGAUGUUUGAUACACCCAAAGCACUCCUACGGUAUCCGGGAGUUGCACAAUCUCAUGGUCUAAGGAAAUGAUACUUGACAUUAGAAAAGCUUUAGCAUACGAACUACACGAUCUAGUGCUAUGCUUAGGAUUGGGUCUUUGUCCAUCACAUCAUUCUCCUAAUGAUGUGAUCCCGUUAUCAAUGACAUCCAAUGUCCAUGGUUAGGAAACCAUAACCAUCUAUUGAUCAACGAGCUAGUCAACUAGAGGCUUACUAGGGACAUGGUGUUGUCUAUAUAUCCACACAUGUAUCUGAGUUUCCUAUCAAUACAAUUCUAGCAUGGAUAAUAAACGAUUAUCAUGAACAAGGAAAUAUAAUAAUAAUCAAUUUAUUAUUGCCUCUAGGGCAUAUUUCCAACAGUCUCCCACUUGCACUAGAGUCAAUAAUCUAGUUCACAUCGAUAUGUGAUUAACACUCAAGGUCACAUCCCUAUGUGACUAACACCCAAGAGUUUACUAGAGUCAGUAGUCUAGUUCACAUCACUAUGUGAUUAACACUCAGUGAGUUCUAGGUUUGAUCAUGUUGCUUGUGAGAGAGGUUUUUAGUCAACGGGUCUGAACCUUUCAGAUCCGUGUGUGCUUUACAAAUCUCUAUGUCAUCUCCUAGAUGUAGCUGCCACGUUCUAUUUGGAGCUAUUCCAAAUAACUGUUCUACUUGGAGCUAUUCUAAAUUGUUGCUCCAUUAUACGUAUCCGGUAUCUCUACUCAGAGCUAUCCGGAUAGGUGUUAAGCUUGCAUCGACGUAACCCUUUACGACAAACUCUUUUACCACCUCCAUAAUCGAGAAAAUUCCUUAGUCCACUAGUUACUAAGGAUAACUCUGACCGCUGCCCUAUGAUCCAUUCAUGGAUCACUCUUGUACCCCUUGACUGACUCAUGGCAAGGCACACUUCAGGUGCGGUACACAUCAUAGCAUAUGUAGAGCCUAUGUCUUAAGCAUAGGGGACGACCUUCGUCCUUUCUCUCUAUUCUGCCGUGGUCGAGCUUUAAGUCUUAACUUCAUACCUUACAACUCAGGCAAGAACUCCUUCUUUGACUGAUCCAUCUUGAACAACUUCAAGAUCAUGUCAAGGUAUGUGCUCAUUUGAAAGUACCAUUAAGCGUUUUGAUCUAUCCUUAUAGAUCUUGAUGCUCAAUGCUCAAGUAGCUUAAUCCAGGUUUUCUAUUGAAAACACUUUCCAAAUAACCCUAUAUGCUUUCCAGAAAUUCUACGUCAUUUCUGAUCCAUAAUAUGUCAACAACAUAUACUCAUCAGAAAUUCUAUAGUGCUCCCACUCACUUCUUUGGAAAUACAAGUUUCUCAUAAACUUUGUAUAAACCCAAAAUCUUUGAUCAUCUCAUCAAAGCAUACAUUCCAACUCCGAGAUGCUUACUCCAGUCCUUAGAAGGAUUGCUGGAGCUUUGCAUACUUAUUAGCAUCUUUCCGGAUUGACAAAACCUUCCGGUUGUAUCACAUACAACCUUUCCUCAGAAAAUAGUCGAGGAAACUAUGUUUUGAAAUCCUAUCUGCAAGAUUUCAUGAAUAAUGCAGUAAUCGCUAAUAUAAUUCCAACAGACUCUUAGCAUCGCUACGAGUGAGAAAGUCUCAUCGUAGUCAACUCCUUGAACUUGUCGAAAAAACAUCUUAACGAGAGGUCGAGCUUUCUUAAUGGUGACAUUUACCAUCAUUGUCCGUCUUCCUUUUAAAAAUCCAUAUGUACCUAACAGCCUUACGACCAUCAAGUAGUUCUUCCAAAGUCUACACUUUGUUUUCAUACAUGGAUCCUAUCUCGGAUUUUAUGGCCUUGAGCCAUUUAUCAGAAUCCAGGCCCACCAUCGCUUCUCCAUAGCUCGUAGGUUCAUUGUUGUCUAGCAACAUGACUUCCAAGACAGGAUUAAGUACCACUCUGAAGUAGUACGCAUCCUUGUCAUCCCACGAGGUUUGGGAGUGACAUGAUCCGAAGUCUCAUGAUCAAUAUCAUAAGCUUCCACUUCAAUUGGUGUAGGUGCCAAAGGAACAACUCUUUGUGCCCUGCUAUACACUAGUUGAAGUGACGGUUCAAUAACCUCAUCAAGUCUCCACCAUCCUCCCACUCAAUUCUUUCGAGAGAAACUUUUCCUCGAGAAAGGACCCGAUUCUAGAAACAAUCCUUUAUUGCUUUCGGAUCUGAGACAGGAGGUAUACCCAACUGUUUUUGGGUUGUCCUAUGAAGAUGCAUUUAUCCGCUUUGGGUUCGAGCUUAUCGGCCUGAAACUUUUUCACAUAAGCAUCGCAGCCCCAAACUUUUAAGAAAUGACAGCUUAGGUUUCUCUAAACCAUAGUUCAUACGGUGUCAUCUCAUCGGAAUUACGUGGUGCCCUAUUUAAAGUGAAUGUGGUUGUCUCUAAUGCUUAACCCAUAAACUAUUGUGGUAAUUCGAUAAGAGACAUCAUGGUAUGCAUCAUAUCCAAUAGGGUGCAGUUAUGAUGUUCGGACACACCAUCACACUAUGGUGUUCCAGGCUGUAUCAGUUGUGAAACAAUUUCCACAAUGUCUUAAUUCUGUGCCAAACUCGUAAUUCAGAUAUUCAUCUCUAUGAUCAUAUCAUAGAUAUUUUAUCCUCUUGUCACGACGAUCUUUCAACUUCACCCUGAAAUUACUUGAACCUUUCAAUAAUUCAGACUCGUGAUUCAUCAAGUAAAUGUACUCAACAUCUACUCAAAUCACCUGUGAAGUAAGAACAUAACGAUAUCCACUACAUGCCUUAGCACUCAUUGAAUUGCACACAUCAAAAUGUAUUACUUCCAACAAUUUGCUUUCUAGUUCCAUUUUAUUGAAACCGAGGCUUUCAGUCAUCUUGCCCAUGUGGUAUGAUUUGCAUGCCUCAAGUGAUUCAAAAUCAAGUGAGUCCAAACGGUCCAUUUGCAUGGAGUUUCUUCAUGCAUACACACCAAUAGACAUGGUUCGCAUGUCUCAAACUUUUCAAAAAUGAGUGAGUCCAAAGAUCCAUCAACAUGGAGCUUCUUCAUGCGUUUUAUACCGAUAUGACUCAAGUAGCAGUGCCACAAGUAGGUGGUACUAUCAUUACUAUCUUUUGGCAUGAACAUGCGUAUCACUACGAUCGAGAUUCAAUAAACCAUUCAUUUCAGGUGUAAGACCAUUUGAAGGUAUUAUUCAAAUAAACAGAGUAACCAUUAUUCUCCUUAAAUGAAUAACCGUAUCGCGAUAGACAUAAUCCAAUCAUGUCUAUGAUCAACACAAACACCAAUCUCGAUGGUAGAGGGAGCGUACGAUAUUUGAUCAUAUCCACAUUGGAAACAUUUCCAACACAUAUCGUCAGCUCACCUUUAGCUAGUCUCUGUUUAUUCCGUAGCUUUUAUUUCGAGUUACUAACACUUAGCAACCGAACCGGUAUCUAAUACCCUGGUGCUACUAGGAGUACUAGUAAAGUACACAUCAACACAAUGUAUAUCCAAUAUACUUCUAUCGACCUUGCCAGCCUUCUAAUCUACCAAGUAUCUAGGGUAAUUCUGCUCUAGUGGCUGUUCCCCUUAUUACAGAAGCACUUAGUCUCGGGUUUGGGUUCAGCCUUGGGUUUCUUCACUAGAGCAGCAACUGAAUUGCCGUGUCAUGAAGUAUCCCUUCUUGCCCUUGCCCUUCUUGAAACUAGUGGUUUCACUAACCAUCAACAAUUGAUGCUCCUUCUUGAUUUCUACUUUCGCGGUGUCAAACAUCGCGAAUAUCUCAAGGAUCAUCAUAUAUGUCCCUGAUACAUUAUAGUUCAUCACGAAGCUCUAGCAGCUUGGUGGUAAUGACUUCGGAGAAAUAUCACUAUCUCAUCUGGAAGAUCAACUCCCACUCGAUUCAAAUGAUUGUUGUACUCAGACAAUCUAAGCACAAGCUCAACAAUUGAGCUUUUCUCCCUUAGUUUGCACGCUAAGAAAAUCGUCAGAGGUCUUAUACCUUUUGACAUGGGCACGAGCCUGAAAUCCCAAUUUCAGCCCUCAAAACAUCUCAUAUGUUUUGCGACGUUUCAAAAACGUCUUCGGUGCCUCAAUUCUAAACCAUUUAACUGAACUAUCACGUAGUUAUCAAAAUGUGUAUGUCAGAUGUUCGCAACAUCCACAGACGACGUUCGAGGUUCAGCACACUGAGCGGUGCAUUAAGGACAUAAGCCUUCUAUGAAGCAAUGAGGACAAUCCUCAGUUUACGAACCUAGUCCGCACAAUUGCUACUAUCAACUUUCAACUAAUUUUUCUCUAGGAACAUAUCUAAACAGUAGAACUAAAACGCGAGCUACGACAUAAUUUGCAAAAUCCUUUUGACUAUGUUCAGGAUAAUUAAGUUCAUCUUAUGAACUCCCACUCAGAUAGACAUCCCUCUAGUCAUCUAAGUGAUUACAUGAUCCGAGUCAACUAGGCCGUGUCCGAUCAUCACGUGAGACGGACUAGCCAACGUCGGUGAACAUCUUCAUGUUGAUCGUAUCUACCAUACGACUCAUGCUCGACCUUUCGGUCUUCUGUGUUCCGAGGCCAUGUCUGUACAUGCUAGGCUCGUCAAGUCAACCUAAGUGUUUGCAUGUGUUCCGAGACCAUGUCUGUACAUGCUAGGCUCGUCAACACCCGUUGUAUAUGAACGUAAGAAUCUAACACCCGAUCAUCACGUGGUGCUUCGAAACUACGAACUGUCGCAACGGUGCACAGUUAGGGGAGAACACUUCUUGAAAUUUUAAUGAGAGAUCAUCUUAUUUACUACCGUCGUUCUAAGCAAAUAAGAUGUAUAAACAUGAUAAACAUCACAUGCAAUCAAAUAAUAGUGACAUGAUAUGGCCAAUAUCAUAUAGCUCCUUUGAUCUCCAUCUUGGGGCUCCAUGAUCAUCAUCGUCACCGGCAUGACACCAUGAUCUCUAUCAUCAUGAUCUCCAUCAUCGUGUCUCCAUGAAGUUGUCACGUCAUCUAUUACUUCUACUACUACAGCUAACGGUUAGCAAUAAAGUAAAGUAAUUACAUGACGUUUAUGUUGACACGCAGGUCAUAAAUAAAUUAAGACAACUCCUAUGGCUCCUGCCGGUUGUCAUACUCAUCGACAUGCAAGUCGUGAUUCCUAUUACAAGAACAUGAUCAAUCUCAUACAUCACAUAUAUCAUUCAUCACAUCCUUUUGGCCAUAUCACAUCACAUAGCAUACCCUGCAAAAACAAGUUAGACGUCCUCUAAUUGUUGUUUGCAUGUUUUAUGUGGCUGUUAUGGGUUUCUAGCAAGAACGUUUCUUACCUACGCAAAGACCACAACGUGAUAUGCCAAUUGCUAUUUACCCUUCAUAAGGACCCUGUUCAUCGAAUCCGAUCCGACUAAAGUGGGAGAGACAGACACCCGCCAGCCACCUUAUGCAACUAGUGCAUGUUUGUCGGUGGAACCGGUCUCACGUAAGAGUACGUGUAAGGUUGGUCCGGGCCGCUUCAUCCCACGAUGCCGCCGAAUCAAGAUAAUACUAGUAACGGUAAGCAUAUUGAACAAAAUCAACGCCCACAACUACUUUGUGUUCUACUCGUGCAUAGAAACUACGCAUAGACCUAGCUCAUGAUUCCACUGAAGGGUAACGUAGCACAAAUUCAAAAUUUUCCUACGUGUCACCAAGAUCUAUCUAUGGAGAGACUAGCAACGAGGGGAAGGAGAGUGCAUCUACAUACCCUUGUAGAUCGCUAAGCGGAAGCGUUCAAGUGAACGGGGUUGAUGGAGUCGUACUCGCCGUGAUUCAAAUCACCGAUGAUCAAGUGCCGAACGCACGGCACCUCCGCGUUCAACACGCGUACAGCCCGGUGACGUCUCCCAAGCCUUGAUCCAGCAAGGAGAGAGGGAGAGGUUGAGGAAGACUCCAUCCAGCAGCAGCACAAUGGCGUGGUGGUGAUGGAGGAGUGUGGCAAUCCUGCAGGGCUUCGCCAAGCACCACAGAAGAGGAGGGAGAGAGAGAUGCAGGGCUGCACCAACAAGAGAUCGAAUCGCGUGUGUUAUGGGCAGCCCAAUGCCUCAAUAUAUAUAGGUAAGGGGAGGGGCUGCGCCCCCUCUAGGGUUCCCACCCCUAGGGGGGGGGCAGCCCUAGAUGGCAAAGGGGGUGGCGGCCAAGAGGGGAGAGGGAAGGGAGGCGCAGCUAGAUGGGCCCUAAGGCCCAUCCCCUUUAGGGUUUGCCCCCUUCCCACCUCUUAGGCGCCAUGCGCCCUUGUGGGAGGCGCACCAGCCCACUAAGGGGCUGGUCCCUCACCACUCUUGGCCCAUGCAAGCCUCCGGGGUUGGUGGCCCCACUUGGUGGACCCCCGGGACCCUCCCGGUGGUCCCGAUACGUUACCGAUAAACCCCGAAACUCUUCCGGUGACCAAAAUAGGACUUCCCAUAUAUAAAUCUUUACCUCCGGACCAUUCCGGAACUUCUCGUGACGUCCGGGAUCUCAUCCGGGACUCCGAACAACAUUCGGUAACCACAUACAAACUUCCUUUACAACCCUAGCGUCAUCGAACCUUAAGUGUGUAGACCCUACGGGUUCGGGAGACAUGCAGACAUGACCGAGACGUUCUCCGGUCAAUAACCAACAGCGGGAUCUGGAUACCCAUGUUGGCUCCCACAUGUUCCACGACGAUCUCAUCGGAUGAACCACGAUGUUAAGGACUUAAUCAAUCCCGUAUACAAUUCCCUUUGUCUAUCGGUACGAUACUUGCCCGAGAUUCGAUCGUCGGUAUCCCGAUACCUUGUUCAAUCUCGUUACCGGCAAGUCUCUUUUACUCGUUCCGUAACACAUCAUCCCAUGAUCAACUCCUUGAUCACAUUGUGCACAUUAUGAUGAUGUCCUACCGAGUGGGCCCAGAGAUACCUCUCCGUUUACACGGAGUGACAAAUCCCAGUCUCGAUUCGUGCCAACCCAACAGACACUUUCGGAGAUACCUGUAGUGCACCUUUAUAGUCACCCAGUUACGUUGUGACGUUUGAUACACCCAAAGCACUCCUAUGGUAUCCGGGAGUUGCACAAUCUCAUGGUCUAAGGAAAUGAUACUUGACAUUAGAAAAGCUUUAGCAUACGAACUACACGAUCUAGUGCUAUGCUUAGGAUUGGGUCUUUGUCCAUCACAUCAUUCUCUUAAUGAUGUGAUCCCGUUAUCAACGACAUCCAAUGUCCAUGGUUAGGAAACCAUAACCAUCUAUUGAUCAACGAGCUAGUCAACUAGAGGCUUACUAGGGACAUGGUGUUGUCUAUAUAUCCACACAUGUAUCUGAGUUUCCUAUCAAUACAAUUCUAGCAUGGAUAAUAAACGAUUAUCAUGAACAAGGAAAUAUAAUAAUAAUCAAUUUAUUAUUGCCUCUAGGGCAUAUUUCCAACAAAAAUAAGAUGACCCUUGAGUCUGCAGAACCCAAGGGAAAGAAAAGGCUAGGUGGCGAAUGGUAAAACCAAUGGUGGGCCUUGCUGGAGGAGUUUUAUUCAAGGCGAACUGUCAAGGGGUUCCCAUUAUAACCCAACCGCGUAAGGAACGCAAAAUCCGGGAACAUAACACCGAUAUGACGGAAACUAGGGCGGCAAGAGUGGAACAAAACACCAGGCAUAAGGCCGAGCCUUCCACCCUUUACCAAGUAUAUAGAUGCAUUAAUUAAAUAAGGUAUAUUGUGAUAUCCCAACAAGUAAACAUGUUCCAACAAGGAACAACAUCUCCAUGUUCCAAUAAGGAACAAACUUCAAUCUUCACCUGCAACUAACAACUAUAAGAGGGGCUGAGCAGAGUGGUAACAUAGCCAAACAACGGUUUGCUAGGACAAGGUGGGUUAGAGGCUUGGUUCAACAAUAUAGGAGGCAUGAUAAGCAAGUGGUAGGUAUCGCAGCAUAGGCAUAGCAAAAGAGCGAGCAUCUAGCAAGCAAAGAUAGAAGUGAUUUCGAGGGUAUGGUCAUCUUGCCUGAAAUCCCGCAAGGAAGAAGAACGAGUCCAUGAAGAAGACAAACGGACGUAGUCGAACGGGUCCUCACAAUCACGACGUUAUCGAAACCGACCUGAAAAAGCAACACCGGAAAUAAGCAAACAACAUAGUAAACAACCAACACAUCAACAUGGCAUGAUGCGCAAUCGAGUAUGAUGCAUGUCUGGUUUAAUGAAGCAUGGCAUGGCAAAGUGCACAAGCAACCCUACAAAUUAAGUGGAGCUCAAUAUGCAACAGAGUUGCAUAUUGAAGAAAACACCACAUGACUUAUUUAGUUCGGUCUUGUUUUAUGUAUCCAACAAGGUUAAAUGUUGUUAGCAUGGCAAGAGGGUGAAGCAAAGAAAACUACCUAUCUAGUCAAGUUUAAAUGAGGUCGGAAACAACAAACAACAAGUCCGGAAACUCCUCAUGAGCAUAUUAUAGAUUUGGUACUGUUCUGCCCUAAACAUUAUUUUAGAGUUGUUAAACAUGCAAAGUAAAGCCACCAUGUUAAACUAGGCAUUUUCCCACCCCAUUUACAUAUAAAGUUUGUUAAAUUUAGAGCUACGGUUAAUUAGUGAUGAAUUGAAGCAUUUUAACAUGGCAUAGGAGCAAAUUUAACCAAACAUCAAUUUAAACAUUUUAAACAUGGAUGAAAGUGGCAUAUUAUUAAACUAGAUGAAAAACUAAGCAAGUUUCAUGUUAAGUUUGUUUUAAUCCGAUGCACGGUUUGUGAGAUAUUAAAAGCAUGAAGUAGAGGGACUAAUCUGUAAAACAACAGUUUUCUAGAAAAUAGCUAAAUUCGCAGGCGCUGGAAAAAACAUGAUAUGGGCCGAAUCUGAAGGCUGGCCCAACGAACAGAGGGAAAAAAACCAGGGGCUGCUCACCCUGGGCCUUGGGCCAUCAGAGGUGAUGGGCUGGGGUGCAUGGGGCCGGAUCUGGCCAUCGGCUGGGCCUGGCGAAGUGGAGAGGAGCUGGCUCGGGAGGAGUGAUACGUCUCCAACGUAUUUAUAUUUAUUGAUUGCUCCAUGCUACUUUAUCUACUGUUUUGGACUAUAUUGGGCUUUAUUUUCCACUUUUAUAUUAUUUUUGGGACUAACCUAUUAACCGGAGGCCCAGCCCAGAAUUGCUGUUUUUUGCCUAUUUUAGUAUUUCGAGGAAACAGAAUAUCAAACGGAGUCCAAACGGAAUGAAACCUUCGGGAACGUGAUCUUCUCACCGAACGUGAUCCAGGAGACUUGGACCCUACUCCAAGAAGUUUCCGGGGAGGUCACAAGGGUGGAGGGCGCGCCCCCCUGGGCGCGCCCCCUGCCUCGUGGGCCCCUCGGAGCUCCACCGACGUGCUCCUUCCUCCUAUAUAUACCUACGUACCCCCAUUAGAUCAAAGACGGAGCCAAAAACCUAAUUCCACCGCCGCAACUUCCUGUAUCCACGAGAUCCCAUCUUGGGGCCUGUUCCGGAGCUCCGUCGGAGAGGGCAUCUAUCACAGAGGGCUUCUACAUCAACACCAUAGCCCUUCCGAUGAAGUGUGAGUAGUUUACUUCAGACCUUCGGGUCCAUAGCUAGUAGCUAGAUGGCUUCUUCUCUCUUUUUGGAUCUCAAUACAAUGUUCUCCCCCUCUCUCGUGGAGAUCUAUUCUAUGUAAUCUUCUUUUUGUGGUGUGUUUUUUGAGACCGAUGAAUUGUGGGUUUAUGAUCCAACUUAUCUAUGAAUAAUAUUUGAAUCUUCUCUGAAUUCUUUUAUGUAUGAUUGAGUUAUAUUUGCAAGUCUCUUCGAAUUAUCCGUUUGGUUUGGCCAACUAGAUUGGUAGUUCUUGCAAUGGGAGAAGUGCUUAGCUUUGGGUUCAAUCUUGCGGUGUCCUUACUCAGUGACAGAAAGAGUUGCAAGGCACGUAUUGUAUUGUUGCCAUCGAGGAUAACAAGAUGGGGUAUUUAUCAUAUUGCAUGAAUUUAUUCCUCUACAUCAUGUCAUCUUGCUUAAGGCGUUACUCUGUUUUUAACUUAAUACUCUAGAUGCAUGCUGGAUAGCGGUCGAUGAGUGGAGUAAUAGUAGUAGAUGUAGGCAGGAGUCGGUCUACUUGUCACGGACGUGAUGCCUAUAUACAUGAUCAUACCUAGAUAACCUCAUAACUAUGCUCAAUUCUAUCAAUUGCUCAACAGUAAUUUGUUCACCCACCGUAGAAUAUCUAUGCUCUUGAGAGAAGCCACUAGUGAAACCUAUGGCCCCCGGGUCUAUUCUCAUCAUAUCAAUCUCCAUUACUUUAUUUUACUUGUUUUGCUUUUACUUUUCACUUUGCAUCUUUAUACCAAAAAUACCAAAAAUAUUAUCUCUAUCAGAUCUCACCCUCGUAAGUGACCGUGAAGGGAUUGACAACCCCUAAGCGUUGGUUGCGAGUUGCUACCGUUUUGUGCAGGUACGAGGGACUUGCGCGUGACCUCCUACUGGAUUGAUACCUUGGUUCUCAAAAACCGAGGGAAAUACUUACGCUACUGUGCUGCAUCACCCCCUCCUCUUCGGGGAAAACCAACGCGAGCUCGAGACGUAGCAAGAAGGAUUUCAGGCGCCGUUGCCGGGGAGGCCUACGCCAAGUCAAGUCAAGAUUUACUCUCCCGUCAACGAGCCAUUUCUGGCGCCGUUGCCGGGGAAGCCUACGGAAAAGUCAACAUACGAAGUACCCAUCACAAUCUCUACCUCUCGCAUUACAUUAUUUGCCAUUUGCCUCUCGUUUUCCUCUCCCCCACUUCACCCUUGCCGUUUUAUUCGCCCUCUCUUUCCCUUUGCCUUUUGUUUGCUCGUGUGUUAGUUUGCUUGCUUGUUCGUCACGAUGGCCUUACCUAAUUUUGGUGAUCUUCACCUUAAAAGGCUAGAAGAUAUCGAAAACAAUGUCAGGAUGUUUAUGGUCUUGCAAUUUGAGCAUAAUAAUUUCUUUAGAAACGAGCUUAAGGAACAAAAGAGUUUUAUGAGUUAUAUGAAUAAAGAGCUCGAUGAUAUGUCCAAAGAAUUUGAUGGUGUAAGAGCCCAAAUUGCUCAUCUUGAAAAAAUGACCGCUGAAAUUUCGGAUAUGCAAGCCACCUUAGUCAAUAAGAUGGCCGCUAAACCGAAUAGCUAUGAGAAUCAAGAUGAAGAUCUAAAAGUUAUUGAUGUGUCCCCUAUUAAAUCUUUGUUUUGCAAUAUGAAUCUUGAUGAAUCUGAUUAUGAUCUUCCCUUACCUAGAAGGCGUUCUAAGAAUUCUGAGUUUUUAGAUCCUGAUGAUGAAAUUGGUAAAAAGGGAUUGAAAGAAAUAAAAAUCUAGAUAUUGCUAAACCCACUAUUUUGGAUCUCAAGGAAUUUAACUAUGAAAAUUGCUAUUUAAUUGAUUAUAUUUCCUUGUUGCAAUCCGUGUUAAAUUCUCCUCAUGCUUAUAGUCGAAAUAAGGCCUUUACCGAACACAUUGUUGACGCCUUAAUGCAAUCUUAUGAAGAAAAGCUUGAGUUGAAAGUUUCUAUCCCUAGAAAACUCCAUGAUGAGUGGGAACCUACAAUUAAGAUUAAAAUUAAAAAUUACGAGUUUUAUGCUUUGUGUGAUUUGGGUGCUAGUGUCUCUACUAUCCCCAAAGCUUUGUGUGAUUUGCUAGAUUUCUGUGACUUUGAUGAUUGCUCUCUAAACUUGCAUCUUGCGGAUUCCACUAUUAAAAAGCCUAUGGGAAGAAUUAAUGAUGUUCUUAUUGUUGCAAAUAGGAAUUAUGUGCCCGUAGAUUUUAUCGUUCUUGAUAUAGAUUGCAAUCCUUCAUGUCCUAUUAUUCUUGGUAGACCUUUCCUUAGAACGAUUGGUGCAAUUAUUGAUAUGAAGGAAGGGAAUAUUAAAUUCAAAUUUCCCUUAAAGAAGGGCAUGGAACACUUUCCUAGAAAGAAAAUAAAAUUACCAUAUGAAUCUAUCAUGAGAGCCACUUAUAGAUUGCCUACCAAAGAUGGCAAUACCUAGAUCUAUCCUUGCUUUUAUGCCUAGCUAGGGGCGUUAAACGAUAGCGCUUGUUGGGAGGCAACCCAAUUUUAUUUUUUGUUUUUUGUUUUUGGUUCUGUUUAGGAAUAAAUAAUCCAUCUAGAUUAUGUUUAGAUGUGGUUUUAUCUCUUAAUUAGUGUUUGUGCCAAGUUAAACCUAUUAGAUCUUCUUGGAAGAUAGUUAUUUGAUCUUGCUGUAAUUUCCAGAAUCUUUGCGCUCAGUGCCCGAAUUGUCAAAAAUCACCAGAAUGUGAUAAAAUAGUGAUUCCAAUUGCUGCUGAUCAAUAAACAAAUUGCCCAGGUCGUCUAAUUUUGGUAGAAUUUUUUGGGUUCCAUAAGUUUGCGUUAGUAACAGAUUACUACAGACUGUUCUGUUUUUGACAGAUUCUGUUUUGCGUGUGUUGUUUGCUUAUUUUGAUGAAUCUAUGGCUAGUAAAAUAGUUUAUAAACCAUAGAGAAGUUGGAAUAUAGUAGGUUUAACACCAAUACAAAUAAAGAACAAGUUCACUACAGUACCUUAAAGUAGUAUUUUGUUUUCUUUCUCUAACGGAGCUCACGAGAUUUCUAUUGAGUUUUGUGUUGUGAAGUUUUCAAGUUUUGGGUGAAUUCUUUUGAUGGAUUAUGGAACAAGGAGUGGCAAGAGACUAAGCUUGGGGAUGCCCAUGGCACCCCCAAGAUAAUCCAAGGACACCAAAAAGUCAAAGCUUGGGGAUGCCCUGGAAGGCAUCCCCUCUUUCGUCCACUUCCAUCGGUAAUUUACUUGGAGCUAUAUUUUUAUUCACCACAUGAUAUGUGUUUUGCUUGGAGCGUCUUGUAUUAUUUGUCUUUUCUUGUUAGUCUACCACAAUCAUCCUUGUUGUACACACCUUUUGAGAGAGCCAUGUAUGAAUUGAAAUUUGUUAGAAUACUCUAUGUGCUUCACUUAUAUCUUUUGAGCUUGAUAGUUUACUCUAUGUGCUUCACUUAUAUCUUUUUGAGCGUGAUAAUUUUUGCUCUAGUGCUUCACUUAGAUCUUUUAGAGCACGGUGGUGGUUUGUUUUAAAGAAACUUGAUCUCUCAUGCUUCACUUAGAUUAUUUUGAGAGUUGUUAAUAGCAUGGUAAUUUGCUUAAUGUUAAUAUACUUGGUAUUCAAGAUAUGUGAAACUUUCUUUUUAGUGGGUUGAAUACUAAGAUAAGUUUGAUGCUUGAUAAUUGUUUUGAGAUAUGGAGGUGACAAUAUCAUAGUCGAGCUAGUUGAGUAGUUGUGAAUUUGAGAAAUACUUGUGUUGAAGUUAGCAAGUCCCGUAGCAUGCAUGUAUGGUUAAAGUUGUGUAACAAAUUUGAAGCAUGAAGUGUACCUGGCUUGUGCAUCCUUAUGAGUGGCGGUCGGGGACGAGCGAUGGUCUUUUCCUACCAAUCUAUCCCCGUAGGAGCAUGCGCAUAGUACUUGAUUUUUGAUGACUUCUAAAUUUUUGCAAUAAGUAUAUGAGUUCUUUUGACUAAUGUUGAGUCCAUGGAUUAUACGCACUUUUACCUUUCCGCCAUUUGCUAGCCUCUUCGGUACCGUGCAUUGCCCUUUCUCACAUUGAGAGUUGGUGCAAACUUCGCCGGUGCAUCCAAACCCCAUGAUAUGAUACGCUCUUUCACACAUAAACCUCCCUAUAUCUUCCUCAAAACAGCCACCAUACCUACCUAUCAUGGCAUUUCCAUAGCCAUUCCGAGAUAUAUUGCCAUGCAACUUCCAUCAUCAUCAUCAUCAUCAUCAUCAUGACAUGCUUUACUUUUGUCAUAUUGCCAUUGCAUGAUCUUGUAGUUGACAUCGUAUUUGUGGCAAAGCCACCAUGCAUUAUUUUUCAUACAUGUCACUCUUGAUUCAUUGCACCAUCCCAGUACACCGCCGGAGGCAUUCAUAUAGAGUCAUAUCUUGUUCUAGUAUCGAGUUGUAAUCAUUAUGUUGUAAUCAAUAGAAGCGUGAUGAUCAUCAUUAUUAGAGCAUUGCCCAAUCAAGAAAAAGAGAGAAAGGCCAAAAAGAAAAAAAAAGAAAGGCCCCAAAACAAGAGAAAAUAAAAAGGGCAAUGCUACUAUAUCUUUUUCCACACUUGUGCUUCAAAGUAGCACCUUGUUCUUCAUGUAGUGAGUCUCAUAUAUUGUGCUUCAAAGUAGCACCAUGAUUUUCAUAUAGUGAGUCUCAUAAGUUGUCUUGUUCAUACUAGUGGGAAUUUUUCAUUAUAGAACUUGGCUUGUAUAUUCCAACGAUGGGCUUCCUCAAAAUGCCCUAGGUCUUCAUGAGCAAGCAAGUUGGAUGCACACCCACUAGUUUUCUUUUGUUGAGCAUUCUUAGCUCUAGUGCAUCCGUUGCAUGGCAAUCCCUACUCCUUGCAUUAACAUCAAUUGAUGGGCAUCUCCAUAGCUCAUUGAUUAGCCUCGUUGAUGUGAGACUUUCUCCUUUUUUGUCUUCUCCACACAAUCCCCAUCAUCAUAUUCUAUACCACCCAUAGUGCUAUGUCCAUGGCUCGCGCUCAUGUAUUGCGCGAAGGUUGAAAAAGUUUGAGAUUAUUUGAGUAUGAAACAAUUGCUUGGCUUGUCAUCGGGGGUAUAGAAGUUGGGAACAUCUUUGUGUGAAGAAAAUGAAGCAUAGCCUAACUAUAUGAUUUUGUAGGGAUGAGCUUCCUUUGGCCAUGUUAUUUUGAGAUGACAUAAUUGUUUGAUUAGUAUGCUUGAAGUAUUAUCAUUUUUAUGUCAAUAUGAACUUUUGUCUUGAACCUUUCGGAUCUGAAUAUUCAUACCAUGAUUAAGAAGAUUUACAUUGAAAUUAUGCCAAAGUAUCACUCCGCAUCAAAAAUUCUCUUUUUAUCAUUUACCUACUCGAGGACGAGCAGGAAUUAAGCUUGGGAUGCCCGAUACGUCUCCAAAAUAUCUAUAAUUUUUGAUUGCUCCAUGCUACUCUAUCUACUGUUUUGGACUAUAUUGGGCUUUAUUUUCCACUUUUAUAUUAUUUUUGGGACUAACCUAUUAACCGGAGGCCCAGCCCAGAAUUGCUGUUUUUUUGCCUAUUUUAGUAUUUCGAGGAAACAGAAUAUCAAACGGAGUCCAAACGGAAUGAAACCUUCGGGAACGUGAUCUUCUCACCGAACGUGAUCCAGGAGACUUGGACCCUACUCUAAGAAGUUUCCGGGGAGGUCACGAGGGUGGAGGGCGCCCCCCCUGGGCACGCCCCCUUGCCUCGUGGGCCCCUCGGAGCUCCACCGACGUGCUCCUUCCUCCUAUAUAUACCUACGUACCCCCAUUAGACCAAAGACGGAGCCAAAAACCUAAUUCCACCGCCGCAACUUCCUGUAUCCACGAGAUCCCAUCUUGGGGCCUGUUCCGGAGCUCCGCCGGAGAGGGCAUCUAUCACGGAGGGCUUCUACAUCAACACCAUAGCCCUUCCGAUGAAGUGUGAGUAGUUUACUUCAGACCUUCGGGUCCAUAGCUAGUAGCUAGAUGGCUUCUUCUCUCUUUUUGGAUCUCAAUACAAUGUUCUCCCCCUCUCUCGUGGAGAUCUAUUCGAUGUAAUCUUCUUUUGCGGUGUGUUUUUUGAGACCGAUGAAUUGUGGGUUUAUGAUCCAACUUAUCUAUGAAUAAUAUUUGAAUCUUCUCUGAAUUCUUUUAUGUAUGAUUGAGUUAUCUUUGCAAGUCUCUUCGAAUUAUCCGUUUGGUUUGGCCAACUAGAUUGGUAGUUCUUGCAAUGGGAGAAGUGCUUAGCUUUGGGUUCAAUCUUGCGGUGUCCUUACUCAGUGACAGAAAGAGUUGCAAGGCACGUAUUGUAUUGUUGCCAUCGAGGAUAACAAGAUGGGGUAUUUAUCAUAUUGCAUGAAUUUAUUCCUCUACAUCAUGUCAUCUUGCUUAAGGCGUUACUCUGUUUUUAACUUAAUACUCUAGAUGCAUGCUGGAUAGCGGUCGAUGAGUGGAGUAAUAGUAGUAGAUGCAGGCAGGAGUCGG
rnacentral:lncRNA from 1 species